UUGAUUCUAGUCCGACUUUGUGAAAUGACUUGAGAGGUGUAGGAUAAGUAGGAGUUGGAAACAUCGGAAGUGAAAUACCACUACUUUUAACGUUAUUUUACUUAUUCCGUGAAUCGGAGGCGGGGCGCACCCCUAUUUUGGACCCAAGGCUGGCCUCGGUCGGUCGAUCCGGGUGGAAGACAUUGUCAGGUGGGGAGUUUGGCUGGGGCAGCACAUCUGUUAAAAGAUAAAGCAGGUGUCCUAAGAUGAGCUUAACGAGAACAAAAAUUACGUGUGGAACAAAAGUGUAAAAGCUUAUUUGAUUCUAAUUUCCAGUACGAAUAUGAACCAUGAAAUCGUGGCCUAUCGAUCCUUUAGUCCUUCAAAAAUAUGAAGCUAGAGGUGUCAGAAGAGUUACCACAGGGAUAACUGGCUUGUGGUAGCCAAGCAUUCAUAGCGAUGUUGCUUUUUGAUCCUUCGAUGUCGGCUCUUCCUAUCAUUGUGAAGCAGAAUUCACCAAGUGUUGGAUUGUUCACCCACCAAUAGGGAACGUGAGCUGGGUUUAGACCGUCGUGAGACAGGUUAGUUUUAAUCAUGACAGUGUCACAAUAGUAAUUCAACCUAAUAUGAGAGGAAUCGUUGAUUCACACAAUUUGUCAUCGCGUUUGGUUGAAAUGCUAUUGGCGCGAAGCUACCAUGCGUUAGAUUAUGACUGAAGGCCUCUAAGUUAGAAUUCGGGCUAGAAGCAUUGUGUGUGUCCGUCGCCCGUUUGCCGACCAGUAGUAUGGGGCCUCGGCCCCCUAGAGGCACGUGCCGUUGGUGAGCCCUAUGGGGUGGAUGAGCCUCGCUGGACGCAUUGAAGCGCUAUUCCUAAUUGAGCGGCGGGUAGAAUCCUUUGGAAACGACUUAAAUACGCGACGAGGUAUUAUAAGUGGCAGAGUGGUCUUCCUACCAUGAUGCACUGAGAUUCAGCCCUUGCCGCUUCGAUUUAUUACUCCCAUCUCAAACCUUUUUUUGAGCUAGGUCGUACAUCCUACGAGGGUCACAAAUCUGCACCUCGUAUGGGCAUCGAGGCGAGAAGGUGCAAAGUCCGUGUUCCACAAGCACACAUUAGAGAAAAAGUCACUUACAAUGUAGAGUGCGGCAUCGCCUCUAGACAUGCGCCAUGGUGCCUUGUAUGUGGUUCAUAGUGUCCGGUGGUUGGGGUGCUUUGUGCAUGGUGUGUUUCCUCAUGCGUGAUCCCAAGUGCAAGGUGAAAGAGAGGCCACGACACAUGUGUCCAAGUGAUACUAGGUGAAAUUGAGGCCAUUAUACCCUUUCCGAGUGCUAGGUGAAAGUGACCCAUUCUGUGGAACACUUUCCGAAUGCUAGGUGAAAGUGACCCAUGCCAUGGCACAUGGUUUGAGUGCUUGGUGAUAAGUGACAUAAAUGCCUAAAAUUCAUAUACUUUUUAUGGCACUUAUCCAUGGAAAAUUUGAGAAAACCAACUUAAUUCAACACUUUUUGAAAAAAAUCACAAUCUUGUAUAUAUGCUUCGUGUAUUUCUUUUGAAUUAUAUUUUGCAGGAUUUAGGAGGAAAAGAUAAGAAUUAAUCAAAUGCAAGCAAAGUGCUCAAAAUAGGCCAACAUGAUCCACACAUGACGUGCUUAAAAGGACUUGGCAUAUGUGGAAAGUAUGGAGUCAAUAUGAAGCUGCUCACUAGCACCUUAGCUUGGACCAAACCCAUGCCUAGCUGACCUGGACACCAACCAAGCACGACCAGACCCAACCUGGCACGGUCAAAACACAAGCAUGGCACAAGCCAACCUGCUCAAGCAGACAGCUUAGUGGAGCACCUAGACCACCCAGCUAGGAACCAUACACAGUUGAAAGCGUUAUUCGGUGUUUAUUUUAGUUGGGAGUUUUCUCCUCUCAAUAAAUCGUCCUGACAGUAGUGUCAAUUUUUUGAAAGAUUAAUACUCUAAUUUUUGUUAUGUUCCUCUUAUAAGUAAGAGAACUCGAUUUUAUUCUUUGUUCGCCAUCUCGGCUUUGUUGAAAUAAAUUCCAACGCCGGUAUAAUGGUUUCAAGAAUAUUCCAGUUACAACUUAUUUUCUUAAUAAUCAUGUGAAUAAGUCAUUCCUUCUUUGCCCCAUCUCGGCUUAGUUAGAAUAAAUUCUAACGCCGGUAUAAUGGUAUCGAAGUAAUUACCUAUUACAUAAUUAUUAAGUACCUUUGAAUACCAUCUCGAUUUUUGUGGAAUAAAUUCCAACAUCGGUUUAAUGGUAUUCUAAUAUAUAAAAGUGAUGAAUAGUUAGUUGUUAGAUGCAAAUAAAUAAAUAAAGAAAAAAAGAAUAAUAAAUUUAGUGACCUUUAUUUAUUUACUCCAUUUCUGGUUCAUUUUAUUAACAAACCAAACUUAUUCCUUAAGGAAGGUUGGUAUUAAAGAAUAAAUAAAAUGCGGAAAAUAAAUAACAAUAAAUAAAAGUUAGUAAGUUAGUUUCAUCACUUUUGUAUAUUAAAAGGUGUUUUCAACAAAUAAAUUUAUUGAUAACACUUUACUAUNAAUAAUAAUAAAUUUAGUGACCUUUAUUUAUUUACCCCCUUUCGGGUUUAUUUUAUUUAACAAAACAAACUUCUUCCUUAAGGANNNNNNNNNNNNNNNNNNNNNNNNNNNNNNNNNNNNNNNNNNNNNNNNNNNNNNNNNNNNNNNNNNNNNNNNNNNNNNNNNNNNNNNNNNNNNNNNNNNNGGAAUUGCCUAAUAAAAUGAAUCAUAUAAAUAUGUCAAUGCACAAAUAAUGGAGUUGAACAUAUUUUGAUGAUUUUGAAUUGAAGUGAAUAUAAACAUAAAACUGAAUAUUAACAAAUUCUUGAGGAGACAAAAUCUUUUUGAAUAAGGAAAAUAUAUUUCUCAUCUUCUUUUGAGUUUGAACUACUUAGAGAAUUUCUUAUGUUUUACUUUGGUUAACCCCAAACACCAAGGUCUGAAAUCCUCCUUUUAGUGUAUAUCCUAAAAUGGUAGAAUGAUGAACACUUAUAUUUAUUACUUAAACAAUACUAUGGCCAUAAAAGAGAUUAGGUUGUCAUUCCCUAACCAUUGGCGACUCUAAUAUUGAAUGAGUGAUGAAUGUAAGAUCUUAAGAAAAGCAUGCUUAACUUGGCAAAUAAACUAAGUAUUACAACUACUUCUUAGUUUAUUUGUUAAGUGUUUGAGACAAGUAAUUUUAUUGACUUGAAAUCAUUUUUUAGGUGAUCAAUCUAAAAAGAGCAUUAAGUACUUCUCAAACAAAUAUUAUUAACCAAAGCACCAACUUGAAUGAUUAAAAUCCAAACUUUUGUAAAUUAAGAAGAAGUAGAAAUUACAUAACCUUGUUCAAAAGAAAAUGUUUAUGAGCAUGAGCCAUCCAUCCAAGGAUUGGAUGCUUUUGAGUUCCAAAUGAGAGUAACAAAUUGAUUUUUGCAUCUCAUUUGCCUUCUCCUUUUCUCCUCUUGAAUUCUAUGAAAAACUACUCUAAAACUAGCCUAAAAACUACCUAAAAUGAAAGGAAAAGAAGAGGAAUCAACUAAGAAGAAUUUAGAAUGAAUUUAUAAUCUUUUACAAAUGAGAAUUUCGUGCCUUUUUAUAGGCCAAAGGGCUGGAUGCUCAGUUGCCUUGUUUGGCAACUAAGUUGCUCACCUUUGGCCCCUAUGAAGAGCCACUUUGGCCCCUACUUGACCCCUAUGGUGGGCUAGUUUACAUGCAUGGUGGCACGUCCUCCUUCUUGUCAUAGCCUUAUGUCAUCCAUGAGGUCAUGUUCUUGGCCUUUAAGCAAAGAAAAAGUAAGAUGUUCCAUGAUUUGACCAAAAAAUCACUUUUCUGGUGCGCCAGCCGCUUAGCCCACCUGUUUCCCUGCUAAGCUGCAUGUUUCAGCCGCUUGGCUGACCUGGUUCCCCGCUCAGCUGCAUGUUUCAGCCGCUCAGCUGACUGGUUCUACGCUGAACUGCCUGUUUCAGCAGCUUAGUUGACCUGGCCUGGUGCUUGGUGCUGGCUGACCUGGCCUGGUGCUUGGUGCCUAGCAGACCUGGCCUGGUGCUUGGUGCAUGGCUGACCUGGCCUAGUGCUUGGUGCCUGGCUGACCUGGCAUGGUGCUUGGUGCUUGGCUUGGCUGGACAGCUUUGUGCUUGAUUUCUUCAUGGUGAAGCAACCUUUUUUCCUUUGGUUUGUUACUUGAUUUUUGUUGGUUGCUUGGCACUUUUGGGCUGUUUUCUUUAAGUUAAGGUAAGCAUUUGAUUUUUGCAAGUUGCUUGGCCUACCUUAACAUAGGUUUCUUCAAGACGAAGUAAGCUACCUUUCUUCAAGGCUAAGUAACCAAAUUAAGCACAUAGCAUGCCAUGCUUUAACUUGAUUACUUUUAGCAAUUCAUUUUGAGCUUUUGUCUUGAAUUUUGGCUUGAAUUCUUAUCCAUCUUUGAAUUUAUUCUUUAAUAUUCAAUUUCCUACAACUCAAAGAAAACUUGGACAAGAAUUAAUAAAGAACCAAUUUAUUUAAUCAUGCAAAAUUCACCUAAAAAGUGUUAGUUUAAGUUGGUUUUCUACAAUUUGCAUAGGAUAAGUGCCAUAAAAUGAUGGUGAAAAGUGUAUACUUUUGGCACUUAUCACACACCUGACUAGAUCAACAAGCAAUAAGCCACAUCACCAUCAGCACAGUGAAAUAACACAUAACUUGUAAUGUUUUUAAAAUCAAUUGAGUAUAGAAAUAAUUCCAUAUUUCCAACCAAUUUUCUCCUCAAGAAUUUGUGCAUAUUAGUUGUUUAUGUUUAUAUUUGCUUGUUAAUAUUUCAUGAACAAAAUCAAAUCAAAAAGAUGAUUAAACUUUAUUAGUUAUAUAACAUGUUUAUAAUAAUGAUCUAUUAGGCAAUUCAUUGUGGUUCGACAUAACCAUUUACUAUGCUACAAUUGAAUCUGGAAAGAGAUGCAAAUGUAAAAUACUAAAGUGUUUACUUAUAAAUUUUAUUUGUUGACAAAGAAAUAAACCUUGAAUCAAAGUGCAAUUUAAUCCAUAAAUUGUAUCUUUGUGAAAAUGAUAAAUACAUAGUCAUAAUGAAUGACCCAACUACUAACUUUUACUCUCUCUCAUUUAUUUUCUGCAACUAACAUUUAUUUUCUAUCAUUUAAAUUAUGUAACUAACAUUUAUUUAUUGUUUUAUUUAUUUAUUCUUUACCAACCUUCCAUACGGAAUUAGUUUGGUUAAUAAAGGAAAACAAAAAUAAAUAUUACUCAUUAACCCUUGUAUUAAAUUGCUAAAUUCAUACCAUUAUACUGGCGUUGAAAUUAAUCCAACAAAGUCGAGAUGAUAUGAAAUUGUUAAUAAUUCAAUAAAGCUAAGUGUUUGAUUAAAGGAACAUUCUUGAAACCAUUAUAUCGGCGUUGGAAUUUAUUCUAACAAAGCCGAUAUGGCGAGCAAAGAAUCGACUUGUCCUUAAAUAAAUUAAUAAGAAACUUACCUCAAUAACUAGAAAGAAAACUCUUUCAACAAAUUGGCGUCGUUGCUGCGGAAUUGCCAAAUAAUAGAAAUUAUUAUUUACUAUGCUAUAUUAUUAAUAAUCUUGUACAAUAGUAUUUUUAUUUACUUUUUUCACAAAUUAAUUUGAAUUUGUAUAAAAAUUUAAAUUACAAACUUUGUAAAUUCAUGUCUUUUUCUUAUUAAUCUUUCUUCAUAAAUAGACAGAUUUCCUUUUUAUUGUUUUUUUUCAGAAAAAUGGAUCAACAUAUCAACAUCCAAAUUGAAAUAGACACUUUCGUAAAGGAUUUUCAACAUAAGCUCAACAAAGUACACCAAAAGUUACAACAAUUACCAAAAUAGUUCGAGAAAGAACAACACUUUUGAUGUCAUGGUUGUGCCAAUUAACAGUCUGUCUGUUUCAUCAAUACCCACUCAACAUCUCACUAGUCUCAAAAGAAACUAGAGGAAAUACUAGAACAAUUCAUGUAGACAACUAUCAAGCAUCAACAAAUCACAUACGAUGCUAUUAAGAAUACGGGGAAUCAAAUCAGAUGCAUAGUUGAACAUCAUUCAACUAUUUCAGAGCAUUGAAUAGGUAUCAAAAUCAGAAGUGGAAAACGGUGGGAGGAGUUAUUGGAAAAAAAGGAAAAGAAAAAGAAGAAGAAAAAUAAAAAGAAAAAGAAAAAAAUGAAAAGAUGUACAUAAAAAAAUAGAUGUACCAGAAACUAGCGGGGAACAAAAGGAAGACAAACAAUACCCACUAGUUCAGGAAAAAUACCCUACCCCACAACCCCAUCAAAAGCAAAGAAGGAAGAGGAGUUUGCUUGUUUUAUGGAAAUAUUCAAAUCAUUACAAAUCAAUAUUUCAUUUUUUGAAGCCAUGGAACAAAUGCCUAUGUAUUCCAACUUCAUGAAAGAACUGCUAUCAAAGAAGAGGAGCCAUAAGGAGAAAGAAGUUAUCCAACUUAAGGCAACUUGAAGUGCAAUCCUUCAGACUAACAUCCCUCAUAAGCUAAAAGAUCUAGGAAGCGUGACUAUUCUAGUCACAAUUGGGGAAGUUUUCAUAGGCAAAGCACUUGUUGAUCUCAAUUCAAGUGUUAGUCUAAUGCCACUUUUAAUGAUGAGGAGAAUAGGAGGGUUGCAACUAAAACCAACCAGAAUGUUUCUGCAACUAGCUAACAGAUCCAUUAAAUAUCCGGAAGGAGUUGUAGAAGAUGUGUUGGUAAGAGUGGAUAAAUUUCUAAUUCCUGUAGACUUUGUUGUAAUUGACAUCUCCGAAGAUGUGGAAAUCCUACUCAUUCUAGGACGUCCAUUCAUGAGAACAGAAAAAUGGGGAUAGACAUAGAAAAUGGGAAACUAAUAGUUCGAGUAGAAAAUGAUGAAAUUCAAUUUGAGAUUUUCAAAGUAAUGUAUCACCCAAGAGAUAAGGGAAAUUUGUUCCAUAUCGAUAUUCUUGAAGAAAUCUGCUCAGAACAGCCUCAACCUGAUAACUCUUAAGAGAUGCAAGAACUCAAUCUGGAGGAUGGAAAGAAAAAUUGAUCAUAAAUUUUUUGAUAAUCAAUUUUCUCCUAAAAUGAACCAAGGUGGAGAUGACAAAAAAAAACAAGAACUUGACUUGAAGGAGUUACUUUCACAUUUAAAGUAUUUGUUUUUAAAAGGUAACUCCAACAAACCAGUUAUCAUCAACAACUUGUUUUCCACCUUGGAAGAAAGUAGAUAGAUACAAGUCUUGGAGAAGCACCAACAUGCGAUUGGUUGGACUUUGAAUUAUUUAAAAGGAAUCAGUCUUUCUUACUGCAUGCACAAAAUCAUGAUGGAGGAUGAUUUCAAACCAGUAGCUCAACCACAAAGGAGGCUCAAUGAAAGAAGUUGUUCGAAAGGAAGUGGUGAAAAUGAUAGAAGUUGGAAUGAUUUACCCCAUUUCAUACAUCAAAUGGAUAAGUCCUAUUCAAGUGGUGCCGAAAAAAUGAGGAAUAACGGUACUCUGAAAUGACAAUAACGACCUCAUUCCAACCAGAGUUGUUGCUGGUUGGAGGGUAUGUAUGGAUUAUCGCAAACUCAAUGCGGCCACCAAAAAAGACCACUUCCCCUACCCUUCAUGGAUCAGAUGCUGGAAAGAUUAUCAUGGCGGGCCUUCUAUUAUUUCCUAGAUUGUUAUUCGGGAUACAACCAAAUUGUUAUGGAUCCACAAGAUCAAGAAAAGACGACAUUUACUUGUCCUUUUGGUGUCUAAACAUACAGAAAGAUGUCAUUUGGAUUAUUCAAUGCUCCAGCUACUUUUCAAAGAUGCAUGCUGGCUAUUUUUGUCGACUUGGUGGACAAAUGCAUUGAGGUCAUCAUGGAUGAUUUUUCAAUAUUUGGAGAUUCUUUCGAUUUAUGCCUUCAGAACCUAGAGAUAGUAUUGGAAAGAUGUGUUGAGACCAACCUGGUACUAAAUUGGGAAAAAUGCCAUUUCAUGGUCACCAAAGGCGUUGUUUUGGGGCACAAGAUUGAAGAAAAGGGGUUGAAGUUGAUAAGACAAAAGUAGAAGUCAUAGAGAAGCUUCCACCACCAACAAAUGUUAAAGGCAUUAGAAGCUUUCUAGGACAUGCUGGAUUCUACUGCUGCUUUAUCAAAGACUUCUCCAAAACAACUAAGCCCCUUUGCAAUCUUCUCCUUAAAGGUUCUUCUUUUAAUUUUGAUAAAUCUUGUUUAGAAGCAUUCAAAACUUUGAAAAAUUGCUUGGUAACCGCCCCUAUCAUAAUUGCACCAAACUGGGAUCUACAUUUUGAACUAAUGUGUGACACUAGUGAUUACGCAGUUGGUGCAUUUUUGAGACAGAGGAGGGAGAAGGUGUUCCAUGCAAUACAUUAUGCUAGCAAAGUUUUAAACAAGGCUCAAGUUAACUACGCUGCAACAAAAAAAGAAUUGCUAGUUAUCGUAUUCGCAUCGGAAAAAUUUAGAUGUUAUUUGAUUGGGGCCAAAAUUAUUGUUUUUACUAAUCAUGCUGCAAUCAAAUACCUCCUAAAGAAAUCCGAUUCCAAGCCACGAUUAAUAUGAUGGGUGCUACUUUUACAGGAAUUUAACUUGGAAAUCCGUGACAAAAGCAGGAAAGAUAAUCUUGUGGCCGAUCAUUUGUCACGAUUAAUCAAUGAAGAAGUCACAGAAUGAGAGAGAGAAAUAGCUUAAGCAUUUUCAAAUGAAAAGCUAUUUCUCCUUCAAUAAAGACCAUGGUUUGCUGAUAUAACUAACUACAAAGCCUCAGGAAUUAUUCCUGAUCAUUUCAACUAUCAUCAAAAGAGGAAAUUUCUCAAGGAGGUCAAUCAUUACGUCUGGGACGAGCCAUACUUAUUCAAAGAUGGAACUGAUAACAUAAUUCGAAGGUGUGUUGAUUCGAAGGAGGCUCAUAAAAUUUUAUGGCAUUGCCAUAAUUCUACUUAUGGAGGACACUACAAUGGAGAAAGAACUGCUGCGAAAGUACUCCAGUCUAGUUUUUUCUGGCCCUCUAUUUUUAAAGAUGCCAAAAAUUUUGUUCAAAAAUGUGAUGCAUGCCAAAGAAAUGGCUGAAUUGGAAAAAGAAAUGAAAUGUCGUUGCAAAAUAUUUUGGAAAUAGAAAUUUUUGAUUGUUGGGGCAUUGAUUUUAUGGGUCAUUUCCCAUCAUCGUUUUUGAAUGAAUAUAUCUUGGUAGAUGUUGAUUAUGUUUCUUGAUGGGUAGAAGCAUUAGCAACACCAAAAGCGGAUGGAAUAACAUUUAUAAAAUUUUUGAAAAAGAAUAUUUUUACCAGCUUUGGAACACUAAGAGUACUCAUAAGUGAUGGAGGUUCUCAUUUUGUAAACACCCAAUUACGCAAGGUUUUGGAAUUUUAUAAUGUUAAGCAUAAGGUAGAAUCACCUUAUCACCCAUAAACCAAUGGGCAAGCUAAAGUAUCCAACAGAGAAUUGAAAAGAAUUUUAGAAAAGACAGUCUCUUCCUCAAGGAAAGAUUGAUCACAAAAUUUGGAUGAUACUUUAUGGGCAUAUAGAACUGCAUUUAAGUCACCAAUAGGCCAAACUCCAUACCAACUAGUUUACGACAAAACUUCUCAUUUACCAGUUGAAUUGGAGCAUAAAGCCUAUUUGGCACUUAAUUUUUUAAAUUUUGAUUUGAAUGAUGCAGGAAUAAAAUGAAAGAAUCAAUUACACCAAUUAGAGGAAGUGAGGUUCCAAGCUUAUGAAUCUUCAAGAUUGUAUAAAGAAAAGGCUAAAAAGUACCAUGACUCCAAAAUUCGAAGAAAAGAUUUCUAUAAAGGUCAAAAGGUACUCUUGUUUAAUUCAAGAUUAAAAUUGCUUCCAGGAAAAUUCAAGAGCAAAUGGUCAGGGCCAUUUGUGAUAAAAGAUGUUAAAGAAUAUGGAGCAGCUGAAUUGGAAGAUCCAAAGUCUCAAACAAAUUGGACAGUGAAUGGGCAUAGGUUAAAACUCUACUUGGGUGAUGAAUCAGGCUGCAUCAUUGAAAUUGCAUCAGAAUGACCUCUACAGUUGACAUAGGCAUCAAGCUAUUGACGUGAAACGAGCACUUGCUGGGAGGCAACCCAAUAGUUGGUUAGUUCGUGAAUUUCUUUUUAAUUUAUGGUAUGUUUUGUGUUAAAUUAAAGUUUAUGUUUAGAAGUAAUAUGUUAUUCUUUAGAAAAUUUCAUAUGCAUCAAACAUCUCCUUCAAACCAAAAUUUCCGUUGGCUUGAGGACAAGCCACCAUUUAAAAAGGGGGAACAUGGUUUAAUGCAUAUGAAUUUUUUUAAAGAAAGUUAAUAGUAUAUAUAAUAUUGUAUAGUUAUUUCAAAAGUAAUUUAGUUGUCCAUAAAACUCAAAAAUAAUUUCAAAACCGAAAUCAAGUUGGCUAAAUAAAUAAAAUAUUUGUGGCAUGAUUACAUGAUUAGAAAUUUCUAAAGAUAUCUUGACUUAUAUACUAAACUUUUUGUGAAAACAUCACAUAAUAUCAUAACUUGAAAAUUGUUUUGCAAAUGGAAAUUAAAUUUGUGUAACAUGAUCUUUGCAAACACUUUUUAAAUCAAGAAGUGUAAAUCUAACCCAAGUGAGGGAGUGAGCCAAACACGUGAGGGUAAAAGUUAAAUCACCAUUUGAUUUGUCUAAUUCAACUUGUUUGAGUCUUUAAAUCUCUCCAUUGCAUAAGAUUGAUAGGAAGUGAUUAAGGCAUGUUAUUUCUUUAGUUGAACCAAAUGGCCAAAAUGUCUAACCAAAAAUUACGAUUAUCCUUUGAUAACCCCCUUUUGAGCCAAACAAAGUAAAACAUUUUUAAAAAAUUAUCCCAUGAAAACCGAAAUUGAAAACAGUAUUCUAAAACAGAGCAUAAAUUAUCCCAUGCUUUAGGAUUGAGUGCAUUUCAUGUUAUAAUUUCUCAUGUUUUCCCUCACAUGUUCAUGCAUAUUUUGAUGCUUUUUCAUGAAGUUUUAUGAUUAUGUAACUUCUGUUUUCAUAACCAAUACUUGUCAUUUCACAUGAGUUUGUGUUAGAUGUGCAUUAGAGUAAAGCCUUCUUGUUAUAUUUGAGCUUAGAAAUAGCUUUAUUUUACUCUUGUAAUUGUUGUAUAAUUGUUGUAAAGGGAAUCUCGUGGUGUCUUAUCACCGUUAGAGAUUGAGUGUUUCUUCAUUGCUUAGAGUGUAAGAAAAGGAAAGAACGAGAGAUUCUUUGGCUGGGGCUACGCCGAAAGAAACGUUUUCUUUAUCGGUAGGAAGGGAGUCAAAAUCGAUUAAUUUGUAUAUUGGAUUCAAUUGAUACAUUCUGUUCAUUUGCUGUACUGGAUGCUAUUCUGAUAUACAAUCUGUAAGCUCUGUAUUCGUUCCGUUAUCGGUUAACUGUUCUGCAAUUAAUCAUUUUUUGUAAUAACUUACUGUUUGUGUUUAAUCGAUUAAAAUUGUUGUGUUAAUCGAUUAUCCUGUUUCUGUUAAUCGAUUAAAAUGGUUUCUGUUAAUUGAUUAAAACUGUUUUUUGUUAAUCGAUUAAGAUUGUGCAAUUAAUCGAUUAUCUUCUUUCAUUAAUCGAUUAUCUUAGGGGUGUUUCAGCAUAUAUUGUUGAGUUGUAAAAAGCGGCUAUUCUAACCGCGACACCUAUUCAACCCCCCUUCUAGGUGUAUUAUAACCACUGAUACCUAACACAUGAAUCUUUGCUCUUAUUUUCUUCAUUUUUUUUCCUACAAAAUAUAUAAAAAGGCAAUACCAAAACAAAUAUACCAAAUUGUGAUAUUUUAUAAAAAAAAGUAUUGUUUUAAGUUGGUUUUUCUCAAUUAUGCUUAAGAUAAGUGCCAUAAAAGUGUAUGAUUUUUAGGUAUGUUUGGCACUAAUCAAAGCUCAUGCAAGAAAACUCAAAGACACAUCAACAUAGAUUUGAAACUUUUUAGCAUAGUGAAUAUUUGAUUCUCCCUCUCUCAGAUAUUUUUCGGUUCUUGCUUAAUGAAAGUGAAAAAACUGUUUUAAAAACAGAAUGGAUUUUGCUUCAAAAUAACAGAAUUAGCUCAUAACUUAUAUAACAGAUGUUAAUCGAUUAAAUGGCCACGUUAAUCGGUUAACGGGUUCUUUAAAAACAGGUUUUCAGUUAUGACUUAAUCGAUUAAAAUUCUGCUUAAUCGAUUAACAAGCAGAAAUCCUAGGAGGUCACAUUUUGUAACUCCAUUUAAUCAAUUAUGACUUUCCUUAAUUGAUUAAGGAUUUCUUCCAGGAUUUAAUCGCAUACCAACUGGGUUAAUCGAAUAAAAACACUUAAAAAUGGUUUUUCUUUUUAUGCGGUAAAUACCUUAUAUGAUGAAUGAACAUGCAACAUGAUUGUUAGAAAGAAUAAAGCCUUUAAGUAAAAAAUCAUGAAUGUAUGUAUGCAAAUGCAUGAGUGUCAUUUAUCAUAUAUAUGUAUGAUGAUGUUAUGCCUCAUUCUAUAUAAUUUUCCAUUUUAGACUUUUUUGUGAGACACUUUCAUCUUGGGUUUACCAAACCUAAGACUCAAUACUAGGCAAUCAACUUAGAACUCUAGAAUAUAAAAAGCAAUCCUAGACUCUAUGAUAUUGCCUUUGAGUUCUUGGCGUGUUGUUUGUUGAGAUAUCCAAGUCUUCAAGCUUUCAUAUUAUACUGUGUCUUCAUCAAAACUUUGUAGAUCAGUUAUAAUGGCAUCCUUUUUCUAUUUUCCAUUUAAAUCUCCCCCUUUUUGAUGAUGAAAAACACAUAAAUAUAUCCUUUGUUUGGUGACUUGAAGCUGGACAGAAUUUGUUUGCAUAUGGUUGAAUCAGAAUGCGCUGCUCCCCUCACUUUGUUCUCCCCCUCAAACCAUGUAAGAGGUAAUGCUAGGGUGGCAACAUGAAUACUUUGCGGAAGCUCAUUUGAACCUGCAAAACAGCUCAAACAACACAUUUCUCCCCCUUUUGGCAUGGUCAAACAGCUAUGGCAGAUUAUGAUACGUAAAAGCCAAAACUAAGUAAUGAUAUAUAUUGUUUACUAGUCUUAAUCGAUUAAAUAAUCAAGGAUAAUCAAUUAAGCAGUCUAUGAAAAAAUGUACAAGUGCACAUAGUUUUGAUUUAAUUGAUUAUAGAGUGUAGUUAAUUGAUUAUGUAUGAAUAAAAAUAGAUUAUGACAGCAUUGGUUGCGAGAAUUAUCUAGUCGUAUAAUUUCAACAUGAAUUUCAUAGAAUGAUCAAUGAACAGAUAGAAAAAUAUUCAGAGCAGAUUAAUCAUCCAACGGUAUAUAUAAACAUUUAGCUAACACCAAAUGUUAACGCAAGCAAUUUAAACAUAACCCUAAUUAGAAGCAAGUUUUACAAAAUGUGCGAAUAAGUGCAAAUGAGUACAUAGUUCAGCAAUAAGAUCAACAAUAUACAACCAAAAGAUUAUCAAAACACCAAAACAUAAUCUCUAAAGAAGAGCACAUCCACACCCUAGACACACUAGACAUUCCUAUCUAGGGUAAUCUUGUGUAGGUGGUGGUUGGGGUGAGCCAUGUGGAGCACGUGCAACUAACAUGACAAGUUCAAGCUCUUCAGAAAGUCGCUGCUACUACUGCUGAAACUCAGCUGCCAUGGAAUCCCUCAUGGUCUGAAAGUGUCCAUCAAUACGCGCAUUGAGGCGUUGUUCCAUAUCAUCUAGGUGAGCAAGCCCAAACGAUAGAUCUUGAGGCUCAGCAGAUGCCACUGAAGGUGGGUGCUCAGGGUUAGGCUCCCUAGGAUUUGCAGCAUUAUCUUCCUUUGGUGUAUCCCUAUUCACAGUAGCAUUAUGAUCCUCCUGAUAUUUCCAUUCAUCACCAUAUUUAUAAAGGCCCAUCUUGUGAAUCAGGUUAUCACCAACAAGAUGCUCUCAUGAAUUAGUUAUAAUAGUGUCCACGUGAGUGGUGUCAAUCUCGCAAUAAUCAUAAAUACGAGAAAUGAAUAUCCCAUAGGCGAGCAAUCUUGAUGAAGAUGAAGCUAAGCCCUGCAUAACAUUCAGUAUCUCCGAAGGCUAAUUCCCCACAAUGCCUUCCCGUAUGGCAAACAUCAGCUUGCGAUCAUUUACGGUGGGUUGAGCAUAGUUGGUAUUGCUUUAAACUAAUUUAUAUGCAAUCAGGUAAUGUAAAAUUCGGUUUUCAACAGACAAAGACCUUGCCUUGGUCAAUUCCCCUGGUACAAACAACUGAGGUCUUCUCAAGCAAGAUUUAUAAAUCUCAAUAGCAUCAAAUGAGUCUCAUGACUCAUUAUUACAAUCACCUAGUCUUGGUCCAUCAAACUCAAGACCUCCAACCUCCAAAAAUACCUUUUCCCCAUUACCAUCGAAUAAUAUUCCUCAUCCUUAUACCUAAAGUUGCUAUAUAAUUCUCUAAUCAGCGAAGGACAUGGCUUACCUCUCAAUUCCACAAAUUUAUUUACUACUUGAGUCUCUAACCCAUGCGGGAAUUGGAAGCCCUGUGAAACCAACCAUUCUGGAUCCGCGUACAGGAUGUAGGUUUGCUUAUGGCCUAGAAACUUGGCUAAUCUGGCUUCUUGAAGAAUUGGAGAGUAAUAAGGGUCUCCACGGUUUUUUCGUCCUGCUUGAGCCGAGGAAGAGCCCUUUUCUCUGCCUCUUGAAUGUUUGGCGGUACGUUUCACUCUUAUCCCUCUUGAAUCACUCAUUGUAGCAGGUAUAUCACUGGUUUUAAUCGAUUCCAUAAUCAAUUCUUGGAAAUGAGGGUUUUAGGGCUUCUAAAGAUGGAUAGGAUUCAUAUUAUUGGUGAUUUAUGGUUGAAUAUAGAUGGAACAACUAAAUUGCACUCGAAAUAGCUAUUGAUUUCUAUUGGAAUACUCCAUUUUGGGAAAAGAUUUAGAAGGGGGGGGGGGAGCAAAGAGGAUUAGGGUUCUAAGUGAAGAAUGACUCAAAAUGACACUUGAAUCUGAUAUAGCACUACCGUUAAUCGAUUAUCUACAGUGGGUUAAUCGAUUAACCAACUUAAAAUUUUCCAGAAAUUGGGGAUUUUGUUUCCCACGUAAUCGAUUAAAUUUUGACAAUAAUUGAUUAAUCAGUGAUAAUUUUCAAAUUUUCAAAAAUAUUGAGCCCAUGCAAUCGAUUAACCAGACUGUUAAUCGAUUAAAUUGCAAGAUGAAAAUUUUUUUUGGCUACUAGAACUCAAAUUAAUCGAUUAAGGCUCAGAAACAAUUGAUUAUUGAUAGAACUUAUCACAGAUUUCAGUGCAUUUUAUAGAUUUCUAGAGUAUGCUUAGAGGUGUAAUGCUAAGACACAAACCUAACGGGUUUCGACACACUAAUAGAGCAUAAAAACAUUCAUGAAUAUCAUCUAAACAAGAAAACAUGCAUUCAUAACACAUAUCAUUCAUAAGCAUAUAAUCAUGAUCAAGCAAAGGCACAUAAUUACUCUAGGAAAAUUAGUUUAAAUAUAUUUCAUCAAGUAUGCCAAGUUCUCGACCUAACACAUAUAAAGUAUCCUAUGGAAGGGGCUUGGUGAAAAUAUGUGCUAAUUGCUUCGCGGUUUCAACAAAUUCAAGAAUACAGUCACCUUUCUAAACAUGAUCUCUUAGAAAAUGAUAUCUAAUCUCUAUAUUCUUAGUUCUAGAAUGCAGAAUUGGGUUUUUUGAUAGAUAUAUGGCAAUAGUAUUAUCACAUUUUAUAGGAAUUUUUACUAGUUUUAAACCAAAGUUUGAUAGUUUCUACUUCAUCCAUAGGAUUUGAGCGCAACACACGCCUACGGCAAUAUAUUCGGCUUCAACGAUAGACAAAGCAAAACAAACUUGAUUUUUACUAUGCCAUGAUACUAGGGAGCUGCCUAAAAGGUGGCAAGUCCCGCUAGUAAUUUUCCGGUCUAACUUGCAUCCCUUAAAGUCAGAAUCAGAAUAACCUAUUAGGGAUAACGAAGCAUCCCUAGGGUACCAUAAACCCAUAGAUGUUGUUCCUUUAAGAUAUUUCAAAACACGUUUUACCGCACUAUAAUAAGAUUCCUUAGGUGAAGCUUGGUAUCUAGCACACAUACAUACACUAAACAUUAUAUCGGGUUGGCUAACAGUUAGAUACAAUAAAUAACCAAUAAUUCCACAAUAUUUUGUUACCUCAUUUGCUUUUCCUUUUUCGUCUUUGUCGAGAUAGCAGGAUGAUGUCAUGGGUGUCGUUGCUUCCUUACACUUAUCCAUCUCGAAUCUAUGCAAGAUUUCCUUGCAAUACUUGGUAUGGUGUAUGAAUAUCCUGCUAUUCGUUUGUUUUAUUUGCAACACAAGAAAGAAUGUCAGCUCGCCUAUCAUCGACAUUUCAAACUCUCCUUUUAGAAUGUCAGAAAAUUCCUUACACAACAAGUCGUUAAUAGCACCAAAUAUAAUGUCACCUACAUAAAUCUGUACUAAUAACACAUUAUUUUCUGAUUUUCGAAUAAAGAGUCUUGUAUCAACUUUGCCUCUUUCAAAUCCCUUUUCUAAUAAGAAACAUCUCAAUCUAUCAUACCAGGCUCUAUGAGCCUGUUUUAAGCCAUAUAAAGCCUUUUUGAGCUUAUACACAUGAUUAGGGAAUUUAUGAUUUUCAAAAUCGGGCGGUUGAUUUACGUACACUUCUUCUUGAAUAUAUCUAUUCAAUAACACACUGUUUACAUCCAUUUGAAAGAGCUUGAAGUUCAUUAUCGAUGCAAAGGCUAGAAACAUUCGUAUAGCCUCCAAUCUCACAACAGGGGCGUAGGUUUCAUCAUAGUCAAUGCCUUCUUCUUGAUUAUACCGUUGGCAACCAAACGUGCCUUAUUACGUAUAACCAAAGCAGACUCAUCUAGUUUAUUUUUAAAGACCCAUUUUGUGCCUAUUACGGGAUGAUCUUUCGGUUUAGGGACCAAGUCCCAUACGUUAUUGUUCUUGAACUGGUUUAGCUCUUCUUGCAUAGUUAUUCCCUAGUGUUCAUCCUCUAAGGCCUCAUAUGGUGUUAGUCUCAACCUGAGAUACAAAUGCUACAAAAUUAAAAAACUUUCUAAGUGAGUUUCGGGUUACCACUCCCAAUGAGAUAUCACCUAUAACCUUGUUGAGUGAAUGAUCCUUCUUUGUCUUCCACACUAUAGGCAUUUCUUGAUGAUCUACAUUUAUCUCCUAUUCAUCCUGAACCGCGUUAUCAUUCUCCAUGUUCUUUGUGUAUGCGUUUUCCAGUGCACCUAAAACAUCAUCGUACACAACCUUCCUCUUCUCUUUUGGAAAAGAUUCAUCAAAUUUUACAUGGAUAGAAUUUUCAAUUUGCAUAGUAUAUUUAUUAUAGACUCGAUAUGCUUUACUAUGUAUGGAAUACCCCAGAAAAAUUCUCUCAUAUGCUUUUGAAUCAAAUUUUCCUAAUAAUCUUUUACCAUUAUUUAAUCUGAAACAUUUACAUCCAAAAGCAUGCAAGUAAUAAAUAUUGGGUUUUCGGCCUUUUAACAAUUCAUAUGGCGUAUUUAAGAGUGUAGGCCUAACUAGUACUCGAUUGAUUACAUAGCCAGAAGUAUGCACCACAUCGGCCCAGAAAAAUUUGAGGACCUUGCUUUCAUUCAGCAUUGUCAUAGCUAGCUCAUCUAAAACUCGAUUUUUUCACUCAAAAACUCCAUUUUGUUGAGGGAUUCGAGGAGCCGAGAACUGAUGUAGGAUCCCAUGCUUUUCGCAAAACUUAUUAAAUAGGUGGUUUUCAAAUUAUCCACCAUGAUCGCUGCGAAAAUAGCCAAUUUUAUGGUCAAAUUGGUUUUGAAGCUAUUUUCCCAAAAUUUUAAAAGACUUGAAAGCAUCAGUUUUUAGAGCGAGAAACAAAGUCCUUGUAUACCUAGAGUAAUCAUCAACAAUUACAAGUGCAUAGUAGCUACCACCAAAGCUCAUUAUUUGUGAUGAUCUAAAUAAAUACAUAUGGAGUAACUCCAAGGGUCUAGUUGUGGAUAUCACAUUCUUAGUUGAAAACGAACUUUUCACUUGUUUACACUUUUGACAAGUGUCACAAGAAUCUUUUGAUUUGAAAUCAAGCUUUGGUAAUCCUACUACUAAAUCAUGUGAUGAUAACUUAGCUAGAUGUUUUAGAUGGACAUGCGCUACUCGUCUAUGCUACAACCAGAUGUCACUCUCUUUAGUGAUAAAACAAUUUGAAAACAGAGUGGUGACAUCAUCCAAGUUGAUCAUAUAAAUGUUAUUUAUUCGUUGCCCUAUAAACUUAACAUUAUUAUUUACCCCAUCACAAAUGAUGCAAUAGUUUGAGUCAAAAGAUACAUUGUUUCCUUUAUCGCACAUCUAGCUAAUGCUUAGCAGAUUGUGCGCUAGUCCUUCGACGUAUUGCAUGUUUUCUAUUACGACUUGUGAAGCAUUUCCAAUUCUCCCAACUCCUAGUAUCUUUCCUUUGUUGUUAUCUCCAAACGUGACAUAAACUUUACCGUUUAGUGAGAGAUCCAGGAACUUCGAUCUGUCACCUAUUAUAUGCCUUGAACAUCCACUAUCUAAGUACCAGUGUUGUCCCUAAGUUCUAAGGCAUACCUGCAAAGCAGUUUUACUUGCAUUGAUUAGGUACCCAAGUUAUAUUGGGUCCUUUCUUUUUAGUAAUCAAGGACUCUUGCCCUUUUCGUAUCCACAUAUAUUUACCACUAGGUAUUUCAUAUUUCCUAAUAGAACAUGAUAUAGUUGUGUGACCAUGUUUACCACAAUAAAAACAAGUAGGCAAUCUUUGAUUAUUCCUAUUAUGCAUGUAAUCUACUUGUGUCCUAUAUGGUCUUCCAUUUUUCUUUGGCUUAUAGCCAAGACCUCCAUGAUAACCUACAUUUCUAGAUGUAGCAAGUAGGUUGUUCAGGUUAUAACUACUAUAUGUGGAUUUUGCCAAUUUAUCUUUCAAAUCAUAAAUUUCAGAAUUUAAGACAUCACAAUUAUCACAUAUAGGGGGUUCAAUUAAUUUAGUGGCGCAACUACAUGAGGCAGAUGAGUAGAUGAGAUCUAGAGUUUCAUUUUCUAGUUUCAAUUUAUUUAAUUUCUCUUGCAUAUUAGUUAUUUUACUUUCAUGCAACAAAAUGACUCGUUUUCUAUCUACCUUUAUUUUUUCCAGUUUCUUAAGUUCCUCAUGCAACUCGAAAAAUGCACUAUAUAAUUCAUCGUAUAUGGGAGAGUCAUCUAAACACGAAGAAGAGUCAGAGAAAUGUACUUCACUCAUCCGGAUCGCUUGUGCUUCCAAUUUCAUGAGUGUUAGCCAUUAAGAACAAUUUGGCGGUUUCAUCUUCAUUGGAUGUGCUACUCUUCGUCUUGUCCUCCGAAAUAUACCAAACAAUGUAAGCCUUUUUGGAUUUGAAGUCUCGGGAGUUGCUUUUAUCGUGUUAAACCUUCUUGAGGUGACUCAGGCAUUUGUAUUGCAUAUGGCCCGGUUUGCCACACUCAUGGCAUAUGAGGCAAUCUUUGGGAGUUUUGCCAAGUCUGGUUAAUCGGUUGCCUCCUUCUUUUGGAAUCGCUUAAAUCCUCCUUUCCUCUUGAGAAACUUGCCAAACUUUCUGACUUAUCCUUGUGAAGAUAUAGCUUUCAUAGAGAUGCCCUUUUUUCGGUCUGAAUCUUCAUGCAUUGUUAAGCGGCUCAGCUCCAAUUCGUUUUCAUGGAGCUUGCCAAAGAGAGUUGCUAGUGGCAUAGUGUCUAAGUCCUUUGACUCCAUAAUUGUUAUUACCUUGGGCUUCCAUUUCCUAUCAAGACAACGCAACACUUUGUUAGUAAGUUCACCAAUAGAAAAAGUCUUAUCUAAAGUAAUUCAAUGAUUUAUUAUGAGUGAAUUGUUUUUGCAUUUCACUUAUCGAUUCAUUUGGAAACAUUCUAAACAAUUCGUAUUCAUAAGUCAAAGCAUUUAGUCGAGCACGCUUAACCUCACUUGUGCCUUCAUGGGUUACUUGCAAAGUAUCCCAUAUGUCCUUUGCAUUUAGGCAUUGUGACACCCGAAAGAAUCCAUCGUAAGAUAAGGCAGAGGUUAUAAUGUUCUUUGCCUUGAUAUUGUGCUAGACUUUACGUCUUUCUUCGUCAGUCCCCAACCCCAUUGGUUUUUCUUUAGGUUCACCAUCCACUAAGUGAAGUGGAGUGAAAGGUGUACCCCUCGCCAUUGAAAAUCAGAGUGUGGUUGAUGGAUGCGCCAUCACCGCCGAAGGAGUUUGUGGAACCCAUAGUGAUUAAUCAUUUGGAUCAACGAAUUAGCGGCCAAGCUAGCACUUUCAUACUAGCUCUGAUACCACUUAAUGGGUACCAAUAAGGUAUGAUUACACCUAGAGGGGGUGAAUAGGUGUCGCGGAUCACUAGUCCCACUUUUCCGAUAUUUGUGCAAAAUACAAAGCUCAUGUAGUUAAUCAAUUAUCAACAAGGUUAAUCGAUUAAAUACAUUUCAUUUAAUCAAUUAUGAUCAGAACGUUAAUCGAUUAUCCUGAUUGUUUUACUUUGAAAAUCAGUUUUCUCACUUCAUAAAAAUCAUGAUAAUUCUUGAUCUUUACUAUCCUAAGAUUGAUUCUUGACUAAUAGCAAAUUAACACAUCAUGCAAUUAAUCACAUUAAUCUAAUCAAAAUAGAAAGCAAUAAAGAUAAAAUUAUAAAAAGAUAGGAAUAGAGAAAAUGUGCUCGAGGAUUUUUAUCCUGGUUCGUUUGCAAUCCACUGGAAACUACAUCCAAGCCUCCCGGUUGAUAUGGGAGAUUUUUCUUCACUAAUCAGAAAUGUAAUGUACAACCACACUUCCAAUACAAUGAAACAAAAACUUCCUUCUUGAAAUCGAUGAGCCACAAUGCCCGGUUUGACCCCUUAUCUACGCCUACAUGAAUACCACAUCGUUCACGCAAUUUGGCCCCAACCGAAACUCUUGCUCGAGUCAAGACUUUAUAUCUAAUGAGGACUCCUAAUUCUCAACUUGUGAUGAUACCACACAUCACUAGAAUUCUUCUCAAAUUACAGAAUUUUAGCCGAGUUACUUUGCACACUAGAAUGUGCGGAUUACAACUCUAAAUACGGCUCUAAUCACCCUUGACAAAAAGAUCUCACAAACACAGCCCUAAGACCUAAUUAUGAAAUCAUGCAAGGAGUGUAUUCAAUUGAAUAAAAAAUGAUUUUGCGCAAUGAAAAUAUUUUCUCUCUAUUCUCUCUUUUCACUCUUGAAGCUAAUGCAAUAAAACUCAAAGAUAUAUGAAGAUACCUUUGAAACUUUUUAGUAUAGUGAAUCUUUGAUUCUGUCUCUCUCAGAUAUUUUUCGGUUCUUGCUUAAUGAAGGGGGAAAAUUUGUUUUAAAAACGGAAGGGAUUCUGUUUCCAAAUAACAGAAUUAGCUCAACACUGAUAUAACAAAUGUUAAUCGAUUAAAUGGCCACAUUUAUAGAUUAACAGGUUCUUUAAAAACAGGUUUUCAGUUAUGGCUUAAUCGAUUAACAAGCAGAAAUCCUGGGAGGUAACAUUCUGUAACUCCAUUUAAUCGAUUAUGACUUUCCUUAAUCGAUUAAGGAUUUCUUCUAAGAUUUGAUCGAUUACCAAUGGUUUUUCUUUUUAUGCGGUAAAUAUCCUAUAUGAUGAAUGAACAUGCAACAUGAUUUUUAGAAAGAAUAAAGCCUUUAAGCACAAAAUCAUGAAUGUAUGUAUGCAAAUGCAUGAGUGUCAUUUAUCAUAUAUAUGUAUGAUGUUAUGCCUCGUUCUAUAUGAUUUUCCAUUUUAGACUUUUUGUCAAACACCUCCAUCUGGGGUUUACCUAACCUAAGACUCAAUACUAGGCAAUCAACUUAGAAAUCUAGAAUAUAGAAAGCAAUCCUAGACUCUAUGAUGUUGACCUUGAGUUCUUGGUGUGUUGUUUGUUGAGAUGUCCAAGUCUUCAAGCUUUCACAUUAUACCUUGUCUUCAUCAAAACUUCGUUGAUCGAUUAUAAUGGCUUCCUUUAUGUCUCAUGCAACAAAGUGUGUUGCGGGCAGUUUGGCAUGGUUUUAGUCAAGGUGCGGUCGGUUAUGUCUCAUGCAACAAAGUGUCUCGUGUAGGCAUGUCCCUCAGAAAAGUGUAUGGUGUUGAGGUGCUCGUUUGGUCACACGGUGCUAGUUGGGUAGUUGUGGGCUUCCGUCCGGCUUGCCGAGGAUUCUAGGGUGUCUCGUUGUGCACGGAAGUAUGUGGUGUUUGGUGAAGCCCUUAGGGGUAGAUCCACAGCACGAAGGGGCACAAGUCCAAUCAACCCAAGGUGUGUUGUCGGCGAGUUUGCACGGUUGAAGUCAAGGUGUGGUCGUGUACGACCCGAGGAAAGACCACGGCUUGUGUAGGCUUGUCCCUUGAGAAAGCAUGGCCCGUUGACGCGUUUGUUUGGUCGCACAAUGCCGCCCAAUGCCCCAUCAAGCUUCCCCAAGCAUGCUGGUUCGCUUGUCCAUGGCAAUGUGGGCAAUCUGACCGAGUCAUCUUCCAUGUCGAAUCUCGGUCGUACGUGGCCAGGUGCAGGCUGGUCGUUCCGAAAAAUGUGUGCAUCGUCUUGAACAUAUCCGAAACCUAGCACUCAUUUGGGAUGCAUCAAGGGCUUGGCUUGUGCCUCGUGGUCUGACUCGAAAUUCUUGAUGUGUCCGUCUCACUUGUCGAGGAUCUGGUUUGGUGACUCGGUGACGGGUUGGUUAGUUGCGGGUGGCGGGCGUGCCAAGGCUUCUAGAGUGACCCUUCCUACAUGAAAGAUGUGGUGUUAGGUGAAGCCUUUAGGGGUAUAACCGCUGCAUGAUGGCGCGUAAGUCCAAUCAUCCGAAAGUGUGUUGUAGGCUGGUUUGCACAGUUGAAGUCAAGGUGUAGUCAUCUGUGAUGCUAGCAACAAUGUGUCUUGGGUAGGCUUAUCCCUCGGAAAUGUGUUGGUUGUUGAGGUGUUGGAUUGGUCACAUGGUGCCGACUUGGUAGUUACGAUAUCCCACGGGUGUUUUGAGGCUUCUAGUGUGACCAAUCUUGCACGAAAGAAUGUGGUGUUGGGUGAAGCCCUUAGGGGCACAGCUAUAGAACGAAGGGACGCAAGCCCAAUCAUCCGGAAGUAGUGUGUUUACGGCUGGUUUUCAUGGUUGAAGUCAAGGUGUGGGGGUGUAAGAGGCACACAAUAAUGUUUUGUGAUGUAGGCUUGUCCUACGGAAAUAUGUGCGCACCUCGGGAGAUAUGUGCACACCUAGGCGUAUUUGUUGCCUGUGAUACCCUUUUCGCCAAGGAAGGACAUGGUGUUAGGUGAGGCCUUAAGGGUUGAGUUGCACCGCGUAGAGGGUGAGCCUGUUCGUCGGAAGUGUGUUGUGGGAUAAAUUUUGAACCUUGGUCCCUAUCGAUUUUGGCGGUUACAUUUUCUGUUCGUGCCCGUCGUAGCGGAUCCGGCGGCACCAUGUGUUACCAUUUUAUUGAUUGCCAUUGUCAUUUCAGGGAGUGGUUCGUAUGGUACCGUCGAGUUUCCCUACGGGGAGGGCGCAUGAGUGGCAAUUGGGAUGUUUGUGCAGUCUGGCUCCAUGAUCAUGGUCAUCGAACUUUUAGCAUGCAACCCUUCCAAUGUUGGCCUUGUGUCAUUUCGGCCCUGACGUUCAAUUAGGGUUCUUGUGUUGCCUACUCGUUAAGUGGUAUUCAUGGGCUUCUUAUGACACGUUCCAUCCAUAACCCUUCUAGAAAUCAUUGGAGGAUUCGAAACUGAUGCAUGUGAUGUGUUAGUUGUGAAUUGUGAUGUGCUGCGUUCUCACACGUUUCUAGUGUUCCCUUGGAUGCGGUGCAUGCAGGGAACGUGGGCUGAUGAGUCUGCCCCGUUGAGUCCCUUUGAUUUAUCGAUUCCCUUCAAUAACAAUUUGUCAUGGUGUCGAUCUUGCUUAACCGUUUGUGGUCAAAACACUGGCAUGUGGAGCAAUAUCUUUGAUGAAUGCUACCUGGUUGAUCCUACCAGUAGUCAUAUGCUUGUCUCAAAGAUUAAGACAUUCAUGUGUUAGUAUAAACUAAUUCAUACUGUGAAAUUGCGAAUGGCUAAUUCCAUGAGUUAUAUUUUGUUUGAUGGUAUCUACUACUCAGAUAACCGUCGUAAUUCUAGAGCUACUACAUGCAACAAACCUCGACUUUUGGAAGGGAUGCAUUUAAUAGAUAAAAGGUCGACGCAGGCUCUGCCUAUUGCUUUGAUGAUUCAUGAUAACUCGUCGGAUCGCAGAACCUUUGUGCCGGUGAUGCAUCAUUCAAAUUUUUGCCCUAUCAACUUUCGAUGGUAGGAUAGUGGCCCACCAUGGUGGUGACGGGUGAUGGAGAAUUAGGGUUUGAUUCCGGAGAAGGAGCCUGAGAAACGGCUACCACAUCCAAGGAAGGCAGCAGGCGCGCAAAUUACCCAAUCCUGACACGGGGAGGUAGUGACAAUAAAUAACAAUAUCGGGUUCAUUGAGUCUGGUAAUUGGAAUGAGUACGAUCUAAAUCCCUUAACGAGAUUCAUUGGAGGGCAAGUCUGGUGCUAGCAGCUACAGUAAUUCUAGCUCCAAUAGCGUAUAUUUAAGUUAUUGUAGUUAAAAAGCUCGUAGUUGGACCUUGGGUUGGAUCGAUCGGUCCGCCAUUGGUAUGCACCGGUCGGCUCGUCCCUUCUGAGGGCGAUGUGCUCCUGGCCCUAACUGGUCGGGUUGGGCCUCCGAUGUUGUUACUUUAAAGAAAUUAGAGUGCUCAAAGCAAGCCUAUGCUCUGGAUACUUUACAUUGGGAUAACACCAUAGGAUUCUGAUCAUAUUGUCCUAUUGUGUUGGCCUUCGGGGUCAGAGUAAGGAUUAAGAGACACAAUCGGGGGCAUUCAUAAUUCAUAGUCAGAGGUGGAAUUCUUGGACUUAUGAAAGACGAACAAUUGCGAAAGCAUUUGCCAAGGAUGUUUUCAUUAAUCAAGAACGAAAGUUGUGGGCUCGAAGACGAUCAAAUAUCGUCUUAGUCUCAACCAUAAACGAUGUCGACCAGGGAUCAGCGGAUGUUGCUUUUAGGACUCUGCUAGCACCUUAUGAUAAGUCAAAGUCUUUGGGUUCUGGGGGGAGUAUGGUCGUAAGGCUGAAACUUAAAGGGAUUGAUGGAAGGGCACCAGGUUUAGGCUAAAACCCUAAACCCUAACCCUUAAACCCAAGUCCAGACAUAGUAAGGUUAGACUAGUUAAUUUUGUUCUUGAUUCUAUGGGUGGAGGUGCAUGGUCAUUCUUAGUUGGUGGAGCGAUUUGUCUAGUUAAUUCCGUUAAUGCACGAGACCUCUGCCUACUAUCUAGCUAUGUAGAGGUAACCCUCUAUGGCCACCUUCUUAGAGGGAGUAUGGCCGCCUAGGCCACAGAAGUUUGAGGCAAUAACAAGUCUGUGAUGCCCUUAGAUGUUCUGGGCCACACGUGCGUUACACAGAUGUAUUCAACGAGUCUAUAGCCUUGGUCGACAGGCCCGAGUAAUCUUUGAAAUUUCAUCUUGAUGGGGAUAGGUCAUUGCAAUUGUUGGUCUUCAACGAGGAAUUCCUAGUAAGUGGGAGUCAUCAGCUCGCGUUGACUACGUCCCUUCCCUUUGUACACACCGCCCUUCGCUCAUACCAAUUGAAUGGACCGAUGAAGUGUUCGGAUUGCAGUGACGUGGAUGGUUUGCUGCUGGUGAUGUUGUGAGAUGUCCAUUGAACCUUAUCAGUUAGAGGAAGGAUCAUUGUCGAAGCCUCACAUGCAGUGCGACCCCGUGAAUCUGUUUUACUUAUGCCUUGGCCACGUGCUAGGCACCAAGCGGGGUGAAUGUUGGCUUCCAAUGAGCAAUGUCUCACUGUUGGUUGAAGGAUGCUAGCUGAUCUAAAGCUCGAGACCAAUCAUGCGUACCCUCACCAGCUUUGCGACUCUUUGAUCCAUGGGGGUCUCUUGGACUCCUAAUACGGGAACCUCGGGCCAGGCAGGGCUACCCGCUGAGUUUAAGCAUAUCAAUAAUUGGGGAAAAAGAAACUACCAACAAUUCCCUUAGUAACGACGAGAGAACCGAGAAAAGCCCACCCUGAGCAUCGGUCACCCUCGGUGUCCGAAUUGGAGACUGGAGAAGCAUCCUCAGUGGCGGACCGAGCUCAAAUCCCCUUGAAGAGGGUGCCAGAGACGGUGAGAGCCUCGUCGUGCCCGGACCCUAUCGCACCACGAGGCGUUGUCGGUGAGUCACUAAAAGUGAUAAAAGUUCAACAAAAGUAGAUAGUAGCUAUUACAACCCACUAAAAGCAAAGAGAAAAUUGAAAGUGCGCAUGUCAAGAGGAGCACUUUGGAAAGCUUACUCACAAUAUUAGUUUUGAUGAGGACAACUUGUGAUUAUAAGAGCUUGAAGAUCAUCAACAAAUCAGCGUGCUUAAGUCUCUAGAUUGGUAUUAGACUUAGACUAAUAGUUAGUUUAGGUUGAGUCUAAGGCUUAGGUAAACUCAAUACAUGUCUCAUAUGCAUAAAACUUUAAAUCAUUUUAAGUUUUGAGAUAUGUCAUUUAUAAUAUGUUCAUGCAUCAUAUAAAUACAUGUAAUCUGUGCAUCAUAGGCAUAAACUUAGUGUUGAACAUGUGUAAAUUAAGUGUAUAACGUAUUUGAGUUUUGCAAAUUGAAAUUACGCUUGGAAAUAUGCAGUUAAUCGAUUAAGGCAUGAUUUAAUCGAUUAACAUAAGUUUUUUGAAAAGCUGUUGAAACAGAAAACUUGGAAAAAUAGAAUCAGUUACAUUUUUGAAACACGUUAAUCGAUUAACCAAGGCCUUAAUCGAUUAACUGGGCUGCAAAAUUGAUUCUUUAUAAACUGCAUUUUCAGAACUUAAGCCAUAACUUUAAGAGAGUUAGAGCUUAUUUCGUGUUAAUUGUUGCAUCUAUAUGACAUUGCAUUUGUGAGAUUAGAAAAGAGAGAAUUCUAUGCUUUAGGAUUGAGAGGCAUUUCAUGUUUAAUUUCUCAUCAUUUCAUCUCACAUGUUCAUGCAUUCAUUGAUGUUUUUGUGAAGAUUUUGUAUUCUGUAAAAUCUGUUUUCCAACUAAUGCAUUAUCAUGUUAUAUGAGACUUGUAUUAGAGUUUUAGAGUAAAGGUCUUAAUUGUUAAAUUUUAGCAUUGUAAUUGCUUUAGAUUACUCUAUGUUUUUCUUGUGAAAAGUGUUAUAACUUUGGGAAUCUCAAGGUGUCUNNNNNNNNNNNNNNNNNNNNNNNNNNNNNNNNNNNNNNNNNNNNNNNNNNNNNNNNNNNNNNNNNNNNNNNNNNNNNNNNNNNNNNNNNNNNNNNNNNNNUUCCCUCUCUCUCUUUAUUGCUUUAAUCGAUUACUUUGUAUAGUUGUUUUAAUUGCAAUAUUCUGUUUCUAUACUAUACUGUUGUAACUCUGAUAUAUCUGUUAACUCUGUAUAUUAGUUUCAAGCUCAGUUGAUUGUCGUGCAAGAAACCGAAUAUGUUUGUGUAAUAUGAGCUAUUUUAAUCGAUUAAAUUGAUUACGUUAAUCGAUUAUUUCUAUUCUCUUAAUCGAUUAAUCUAGAGUUAAUUCAGCAUUACUUAUUGUUUUCGGAAAAGCGGAUACUCUAACCGCUACACCUAUUCAACCCCCCUUCUAGGUGUAUUUUAGCCACUGNNNNNNNNNNNNNNNNNNNNNNNNNNNNNNNNNNNNNNNNNNNNNNNNNNNNNNNNNNNNNNNNNNNNNNNNNNNNNNNNNNNNNNNNNNNNNNNNNNNNUGCAAAAGAAAUGUGGGACACUUUACAAGUGACUCACGAAGGCAUCAGUGAAGUCAAGCGCGCUAGAUUAAAUGCGCUGACCCACGAGUAUGAGUUAUUUCGCAUGUUACCUAGCGAAUCAAUCAGUGAUAUGCAAAAGCGAUUUACUCAUAUCGUGAAUCAUUUAGUUGCUCCAGAUAAAUCUUUUGCCAAAGGAGAAUUAACUAAUAAAUUUUUACUUUGUCUUGACAGGAAAUGGCAACCGAAAGUGACUGCAAUUAUGGAAUCCAAAGACUUGGACUCUAUGCCUCUAGCUACAUUGUUUGGAAAGCUUCAAGAGCACAAAAUGGAAUUGGGUUGCUUGACGAUGCAUGAGGAUGAGGACCGGAAGAAGAAGAGCAUCACAUUGAAGGCUACGACCUCCAAAACAAAAGAAGAUAAAGAUGAUGAUGAAUCUGACUCCGAUCUGGAUGAUGAAACNNNNNNNNNNNNNNNNNNNNNNNNNNNNNNNNNNNNNNNNNNNNNNNNNNNNNNNNNNNNNNNNNNNNNNNNNNNNNNNNNNNNNNNNNNNNNNNNNNNNCUUAUGUCGAGUUACAUGAGGAACUAAAGAAAUUGGCUAGGAUAAACGUUGAUAGAAAAAGGGUAAUCCUCAUAAAUGAACAAAAAAUAAGCAAACUAAAAAAAGAAUUAGAUGAAUUGAAAUUAGAAAAUGAAACGUUAGACCUCAUCUAUUCUUGUAGCACAUGUAACUGCUCUGAAAAUAAUUUAUGUCAAAAACCUGUCUGUGAGACUUGCGAGACUUUACAAAAAGAAAAUGUUAAACUUGAAGAAAAACUCACACGUCUCACAAACAGUCAACAAAAAUUAGACACUAUGUUAAGUCAAACAAGAAACGUUGGUGAUCUUACAGGACUAGGUUAUACUGGCCCAACUAGGAACAAAAGACCAUAUAGAAAACCUAUAGCUCGUCCUAAAAAUAAAUAUCACAAGCACACACCAACAUGUUUUUACUACAAUACAUAUGGUCAUACCUCAUAUUCAUGUUACAUAAACUUAAAGAAAAACUCACACGUCUCACAAACAGUCAACAACAUUUAGACACUAUGCUAAGUCGAACAAGAAACGUUGGUGAUCAUACAGGACUAGGUUAUACUCGCCCUACUAGGAACAAAAGAACAUAUAGAAAACCUAUAGCUCGUGCUAAAAAUAAAUAUCACAAGCACACACCUACAUGUUUUUACUGCAAUACAUAUGGUCAUACUUCAUAUUCAUGUUACAUCAGAAAGUAUGGUAUACCUUGUGGCGUUUAUAUGUGGAUAAAGAAGGGAGAUGACUCCCCGUUUACUAACAGAAAAGGACCCAAUAUCAAUUGGGUACCUGAGAAAAGCAAGUGAUCUUUUUGCAGGUAUGUCUUCGAACACAAGGGCAGAAAUGGUACCUAGACAGUGGGUGUUCGAGACAUAUGACAGGUGACAGAUCAAAUUUCCUGGAUCUUUCACUUAAAGGUAAAGGGUACGUCACGUACGGAGACAACAACAAGGGAAAGAUUCUUGGCACCGGAAUAGUUGGUAACUCAUCUUAGACUCUUAUUGAAAAUGUUCUUUAUGUUGAAGGAUUAGAACAUAAUCUCUUGAGCAUAAGCCAACUCUGUGACAAAAGUAACCGUGUAUCUUUCGGUUCUGAUUGUUGUAUUAUUCGUGACAUUUUAUCUAAUAAUGUUAAAUUUGUUGGUCAUCGUAUAAAUAAUAUUUACAUGGUUAAUUUGGAUGAUGUCACUACUCUAUUUUCAAAAUGUUUUAUUUCAAAAGAAGAUGACAUUUGGCUUUGGCAUAGACGCGUUGCACAUAUCCAUGUAAAACAUCUAGAUAAAUUAUCAUCAAAUGAACUAGUUGAGGGGCUACCAAAGCUAAAUUUUAAAACUAAAGAAAUUUGUGACACUUGCCAAAAGUGUAAACAAACCAAAAACUCCUUUAAAAAGAAAAAUGUGAUUUCCACUUCAAGGCCCUUGGAAUUACUCCAUAUGGACUUGUUUGGACCAUCACAAAUCAUGAGUUUUGGCGGUAGCUACUAUGCCCUAAUUAUUGUUGAUGAUUUCUCCCGAUUUACAUGGACAUUAUUUUUAUCUUCAAAAAGCGAUGCGUUCAAAUCUUUUAAAAAUCUUGUCCAGCAAAUCCAAAACCAACUUAACCUGAAAAUAGUAUAUAUACGCAGUGAUCGCGGAGGAGAAUUUGAGAACUUUUAGUUUGAUAAAUUAUGGGAUGAGCAUGGCAUUUUACAUCAAUUCUUUGCUCCUCGCACUCCACAACAAAAUGGGGUUGUUGAGAGGAAGGAUUGUGUUUUAGAAGAACUAGCCAGAACCAUGCUUAACGAAAGUAAUAUCCCCAAAUACUUCNNNNNNNNNNNNNNNNNNNNNNNNNNNNNNNNNNNNNNNNNNNNNNNNNNNNNNNNNNNNNNNNNNNNNNNNNNNNNNNNNNNNNNNNNNNNNNNNNNNNCGAUGAAAGAAUAUUUUUGGGGUACUCGAUGCAUAACAAAGCCUUUAGAUUCUUCAAUAAAUAUGUAAUGCAAGUAGAAGAGUCUAUCCAUGUACAAUUUGACGAAUGUUCUCCAAAAGAGAAGAGAAAGGUCGUGUCUGAUGAUGUUGCAGGUGCUUUAGAGGAAGCAACGCUAUUUAUUCGUAAAUCAGAAAACCAUGUAUCACUUGUGCAAAUCUAUGUUGAUGACAUAAUAUUUGGAUCUACUAAUGAUAUUCUCUGUAGAGAGUUUUCAGAGAUGAUGCAGGGAGAGUUCGAAAUGUCUAUGAUGGGAGAACUCACAUUCUUUCUGGGACUUCAAAUAAAGCAGCUAGAAAGUGGGAUAUUCAUUCAUCAGGCAAUGUAUUGCAAAGAGCUACUUCAAAAAUUUCAUAUGGAUAAAUGUAAGGAAGCCUCCACUCCUAUGGCAUCUGCUUGCUACCUAGAUAAGGACGAAAAAGGAAAAGCAAUAGAGGUAACAAAGUAUCGUGGUAUAAUUGGGUCAUUACUUUACUUAACUGCAAGUCCACCUGAUGUCAUGUUUAGUGUAUGCAUGUGUGCAAGAUUUCAGUCUUUACCUAAGGAAUCACAUUAUGUAACUGUUAAAAGAAUCAUGAGAUAUUUAAAAGGAACAACUAACGGAUUAUGGUAUCCUCGGGACGCCUCACUAUCCUUGGUAGGAUAUUCCGAUUCCGAUUUCGCUGGAUGUAAAUUGGAUCGGAAAAGCACUAGUGGUACUUGUCACUUGUUGGGCAGUUCAUUAGUUGCAUGGCACAGUAAAAAGCAAGCCUGUGUUGCUUUGUCCACCGCCGAAGCGAAAUAUAUUGUCGUCGGUGUGUGUUGCGCUCAAAUCCUUUGGAUGAAGCAGCAACUUAAGGACUUUGGUCUUAAACUAGAAAAGAUCUCCAUUAAAUGCGAUAAUAUAAGUGCCAUAAACCUAUCUAAGAAUCCAGUUUUGCAUUCUAGAACCAAGCAUAUAGAAAUUAGACAUCAUUUCUUACGUGAACAUGUACAAAAAGGUGACUACGUUCUUGAAUUUGUUGAAAACUCUAAACAGUUAGCAGAUAUCUUCACCAAGCCCCUUCCACGGGAUACUUUCUAUGUUCUAAGGAGAGAACUUGGAAUUCUUGAUGAACGAUAUCUUAUUUAAAAAUGUUUAGUUGUUUGGUUUAUGUCUUGCCUCUAUAUGUUUAUCAAUCUCUUGAUUUAAAUAAAAUUUGUUGAAAUGCAAAAUGAUAUCUCAUGAUAACUUCUUUUCGUGAUUNNNNNNNNNNNNNNNNNNNNNNNNNNNNNNNNNNNNNNNNNNNNNNNNNNNNNNNNNNNNNNNNNNNNNNNNNNNNNNNNNNNNNNNNNNNNNNNNNNNNGUGUUAAUCGAUUACCUGGGCACCAUUUUCUGAAAAAUCAAUUUUUACAUGAUUUUAAUCGAUUAACCAGGCCCGUUAAUCGAUUAAAACCAGCAGUUUAAGUGCAUACAACACCUCGGUUUCACGCUUUUUCGGCAUUUUUGUCCAUCUCUUCUUGCUUUUGAGUCUCUGAAAUUGUAACUCAACUGACCCAAGUGCAUUAAGCUAGAUAAACCUCACCCUAACCCCCUAGAAAUCUCAAAUUUCAUCCAUAUUCCACUACAUUUCCAUUUUUCCGAAAUCAAAACCCUAGGUUAGGUUUGCCUCAAUUCCUCACUAUUUGGUCCAACAUCAAUUUGGGUUCUACAUAAAGAUGGAGCAAGGUCGCGCAAAAAGGUUCAAAAACCCUGCCAAUCGUCCUCCACUCGGGACCGUGGUGACCUAUUUUGCUCGCUCAUAUUUCAAGAGACCCGUUUGGCAAAGUUCCAAGGACGCAAACCCACUUAUGUAAGGUAUUUCGAUUUAACCUGGAUGGCAUAACAAAAUUUCAGUUUUCCGCAUGAUAUGGAGGCUCAGGGAGCCGUUAAAUUUCUGGAAUUAAAGGGACAAGUUUACACUACUCUAGUUAGGGAAUUUUAUGCAAAUUUCAGAUAUAAGGAUGGGAAAUACUGGUCUAUGAUUUCUAGUAAGUUUGUUUGAGAUUAGUGAUGAACUGUUUAUGAAUGUCGGUCGAUUAUCAUCUUCGGGUUAUGGAAUAGGAGAUUGCUCAUGGGUUAAGGAUAACUUUGAUUCUACUGAGGUGUAUAAGUCAUUUCUUAGAGGACCUCAUUUGUAUAUUCCGGGUCAACUGACCAAGGCUGGGUCUUUAUCUGUUGAGAACAGGCUGCUUCAUUAUGUCAUUGCCUAUAUUAUGGUGCAGAGGAACACAAAUCAUGCACAUCCUACUGUGAAUGAUUUGCGUUUCAUGUACGCUGUUAAGAAUAAUGUGAUGAUUAACUGGCCUGAGGAAAUAUUGAAGAUUAUGAACAGUGUGUCUUUGUCUCAGUCAAAGGUGGAUUAUUUGCAUAUUGAUGUUUCUGACACCAUCAUUGUUGAGUAUACUGAUAAGGAUCAUCUGGUUGGUGAAAGUCUGAUUCAUAAAAUGGGCAUAUACAAGUACGACACUACUUAGCAAUACCAGGAGGACUACACUACUAUUGAUCUGGAGCUGUCCAGUGAUGAUGAUUAGGGUGGCAUGGGUGAUCAGAAUGCUACAAAUCAGGAGGAGCCCUCUAGGACAACAUCACAGGAUAUUGUUUUCGGUUUGGCUCAGAUGGAAGCUAUGGAGUAAAGGCUCAACAACUGCAUGGAUCUUCACUUUCAAGGGUUGAAGGAGUUAUACUUUGCAGGUAUGGAACAGUAUGAAGAGCGUCAAACCGCUUAUUCAUACAACCAAUAUCAAUUUGUAAGGAAUCUGAUUCAAUCAACAGCCGAAGCUCAGAAUGCCUUCAUUCGAUCUACAGCUGAAGCUCAAAAUGCAUUGUUUUGUUCUAAAUUUCAGAAGUUGUCUAUGCUGAUCANNNNNNNNNNNNNNNNNNNNNNNNNNNNNNNNNNNNNNNNNNNNNNNNNNNNNNNNNNNNNNNNNNNNNNNNNNNNNNNNNNNNNNNNNNNNNNNNNNNNCUUUGUUUUAUGUUUAACUACAUAUCUCUGCCUACUUUUGACCUGGGUUAUCUUUUUGAUAAUGUCAAAAGGGGGAGAAAGGUUGUUUUGUUGUUGUUUGAUUGUGCAGGUUGAUCGUAAUAACUGCUUCUGAAAUAUUAGCGCAUCCUAUCAAUCAGUGCCAAUACAAUCUUCAAGCUAAUUCAUCAAACAAUUGGUGUAGUAUUUUGUCAUUAUCAAAAAGGGGGAGAUUGAAAGUGCGCAUGUCAAGAGGAGCAUCGGUCACCCUCGGUGUCCGAAUUGGAGACUAGAGAAGCAUCCUCAACGACGGACGGGGCUCAAAUCCCCUAGAAGAGGGUGCCAGAGAGGGUGAGAGCCUCGUCGUGCCCGGACCCUAUCGCACCACGAGGUGCUGUCGGUGAGUCACUAAAAGUGAUAAAAGUUUAGCAAAAGUAGAUAGUAACUAUUACAACCCACUAAAAGCAAAGAGAAAAUUGAAAGUGCGCAUGUCAAGAGGAGCACUUAAAGCUUUCUCACUAUGUGUUUAGUUUUGAUGAGGACAACUUGUGAUUAUGAAAGCUUGAAGAUCAUCAACAAAUCAGCAUGCUUAAGUCUCUAGAUUGGUAUUAGACUUAGACUUGUAAUUAGUUUAGGUUGAGUCUAAGGCUUAGGUAAACUCUAUACAUGUCUCAUAUGCAUAAAACUUUAAAUCAUUUUAAGUUUUGAGAUAUGUCAUUUAUAAUAUGUUCAUGCAUCACAUAAAUACAUGUAAUCUGUGCAUGCUAGGCAUAAACUUAGUGUUGAACAUGUGUAAAUUAAGUGCAUAACGUAUUUGAGUUUUGCAAAUUGAAAUUACACUUGGAAAAAUGCAGUUAAUCGAUUAAGGCAUGAUUUAAUCGAUUAACAUAACUUUUUUGAAAAGCUGUUGAAACAGAGAACUUGGAAAAACAGAAUCNNNNNNNNNNNNNNNNNNNNNNNNNNNNNNNNNNNNNNNNNNNNNNNNNNNNNNNNNNNNNNNNNNNNNNNNNNNNNNNNNNNNNNNNNNNNNNNNNNNNUGAAGUCAUAACUUGCAUGUUGCAUUUUUUAGAGAGUUAGAGCAUAUUUCGUGUUAAUUGUUGCAUCUAUAUGACAUUGCAUUUGUGAGAUUAGAAAAGAGAGAAUUCUAUGCUUUAGGAUUGAGAAGCAUUUCAUGUUUAAUUUCUCACUAUUUCACCUCACAUGUUCAUGCAUUCAUUGAUGUUUUUGUGAAGAUUUUGUCUUCUGUAAAAUCUGUUUUUCAACUAAUGCAUUAUCAAGUUAUAUCAGACUUGUGUUAGAGUUUUAGAGUAAGGUCUUAAUUGUUAAAUUUGAGCAUUGUAAUUGCUUUAGAUUACUCUAUGUUUUUGUUGUAAAAAGUGUUGUAACUUUGGGAAUCUCAAGGUGUCUUACCACCAACGAGAUUAUGUUGUAUCUUCAUUAGCUUAGAGUUCUUGAUAGAAAGAAUAGGUUCUUAGCUGGGGCUACACCGCAAGAAAGGUUUUCUUGGGCGGUAGGAAGGGAGUCAAACCAAGGAACAAUGUUCUUUAGUUUCAAGUGAAUGUCUAAGUGUUGUAAUUGGAAGAAUUGCUUGUAAAACAUUAUUUCAAUUAUAGUGAAGAAAAAUAUCCCAGAUCAGUCGGGAGGCUUGGAUGUAGUUUGCAAGUGGACACGCAAACGAACCAGGAUAAAAAAUCGUGUUGCAUGCUUUUUCUUUCCCUCUCUCUCUUCAUUGCUUUAAUCAAUUACUUUGUAUAGUUGUUUUACUUGCAAUAUUCUGUUUCUAUACUAUAUUGUUGUAACUCUGAUAUAUCUAUUAGCUCUGUAUAUUCGUUUAAAUCUCGGUUGAUUGUCGUGCAAGAAACCGAAUCUAUUUGUGUAAUCUGAGCUAUUUUAAUCGAUUAAAUUGAUUACGUUAAUCGAUUAUUUCUAUUCUGUUAAUCGAUUAAUCUGGGGUUAAUUCAGCAUUAAUUGUUGUUUUCGGAAAAGCGGAUACUCUGACCGCUACACCUAUUCAACCCCCCCUUCUAGGUGUAUUUUAGCCACUGAUACCUAACAAAAAUAUGAAAGUAAAUGUAAUUAGAUCAAUGCAAAUAGAUUUAGAAGUUUCUAAAAUUCUUUCAUCCAUUGAUCAAGAUACUACUUGUUAGGUAAAUAUUUAUCACAAUAUUAGGUUACCUCACAUGCUUUACCUCAUCUUUAUCAAGAUGUUUGAAGUUUUCCAUAUUUGAUGUAUUCUUUGGCCUUUCUUCAAUUUGUGAUUCUUGUCCUUUUCUUCCAUAGAAUAUCAAUUCCUGAAGUAUUUAUCCUCAUUUGUACCUAUAAAACAAUAAGCAUACCAUUCCUCUCCUCUUUUGGGGAUGGCUUAAUCGAGCAUUAAAUUCGCAUAAGCUUUGCAAAAAAAAAAACAUAGUUUUGGUUAAGUUUGCAUUGAUGUGAGAUUUAACCAGUUGUGUUUUAACAUGAUUAGAAAAUCCUUAAUGUUGUUUCAACAUUUACUUAUUAAUCAAAACAUGGUUAAAGGAUUCAUAUACUUAUUUAAUAGUAUCAUGUUUACAUUUGAGAGCAUGUAAAUGUGAGACAUAAAGCAUUAGGCCUCAAAAUGAUUUUUUGGGGGAUAUCAUGAUUCUUGAGUUUAUGGCCUUGCUAUGAUUUCAUUUUAGAAUAUAUCUAUGACACUUAAGGUAUGUAAUACUUGUAGUUAAGAAACGAUACCUUGUUUUACCUUUGUUGCACAAUUCUUCCUAUCUUCAAGCAUUUGUGAUGACAAGAUGCUCAUAGGUGUCAUAGUCUCCUUUCCUUUGGUGAAAAGUCAAAGAAGUUUGAUCUUCUCACCUUCUUAUGUGCCUAGAACACUUGCUGCCCAUAUGAAAUUUGGAGUCCAUAUGUGCUUAGGAAAACCUACAAAACACACUUAAUUGUUUUUCUUGGGUACCCAACUAAGCUUGGGUCCCUUGAUGUUAGUAGCUUGGGGAUUUUGUUUCUUAGUAAUCCAUAUACAAUUUCUAUUUGGAACAUCAUGCAUUCUAACAUUAUAGGCAUUCAAGGUAUGACCAUACAAUCCAUAAUAAAAGCAAGUAGGUGAUUCACGACGUGAAAUUUUCAGAACAUUUACUUGUUUCUUGUGAAAUGUGUUGGUUGCUUUCAUAUAUUCCAAAAUAGACUUAAUCCCAUCAUUUUUAUAUGUAGCAAGUAAUUUGUUUGAAUUGUAAUUACUAGAUGUGAAAUUAACAACUUUAUCAUUUAAGACAUUAUGUUAAUUUUUCAGGCAAAUGCAAUUUUCACAAAUAGGUGCCACAUUUAAGUUAGAAGUACAAUCACAUGAAGUUUUAGCAUAUUUAGCAUCUAAGGUUUCGUUUUCAAUUUUGAGCAUAUCAAUGACAUUUUGCAAUUUACAUAUUUUCUUUUCAUGAUCUAAAAUUAACCUUUUGCUAUUCUUGUACUUUUUAGCUAAAAUUUUAAGUUGUUCAUGCAUUUCAACAUAAGCAUCAUAUAGCAUGUUAUAUGUGAGAGAUGUAUCGGAAUUUGAACUAGAAUCGUAUGAGUAUACCUCACUAGGCUCAUCUUGCUCACUUACUUCACAAGAGUUCAAAUUUUGAGUCAUUAGACAAAUCUUGUGUGAUUCUUCAUCUUCCGAGAUGCUUGUUGACGAAUCGUUCUCUCCGUGUUCAUUCCAAACAAUGUAUGCCUUCUUAUCUUUGAUGUCCUGAGAGUCUUUCUUGUAGUCUUGUUCAAUCUUCUUGGGAGGUGUAGGGCAUGUGUACCUCAUGUGUCCUACUUCCUACUUUUAUGGCAAGAUUAAUUGUCUUUGGGAUUCUUUCUUAUCUUGAUCGAACUAUCUUCAUCUUCCUUGUGAAGCUUCUUGGUUCCUCCAUUCUUUAUUAAGUACUUUCUGAAUUUGUUGAUAAGGAGGGACAUGGAUGCAUCAUCCGUGACGGAAUCAGACUCACCAUUAUCAAAUAUCUCCUUUUGACUUCUAGCAUCUCAUCUUGUUGCUUUGAAGGAUGUUUCUUUGAUGUUCUCGUCUAUUUAUUCAUUGAGUGUCAAACGUCGUAAUUCUUGCUCAUGUUCUUGAAGUUUGUCAAAUAGAGUUGCGAGCUUCAUUUGUUCCAGGUCCUUUGACUCCAUAAUGGCAGUCACCUUGGGUUGCCAUUUCUUGUCCAAACAUCUCAAAACUUUAACAGUUAGUUCAUGUUUGGCAAAUGAUUUAUCUAAUGCAAUGAGAUGAUUAAAAUAGAUAAAUCAUAAAUAGAUAAAUCAAUCAUAAAUAGAUAAAUCAAUCUAGAUUGUAUACAAUGCAAUGAGGUCAUACUCAUGCAUCAAUGUAUACAAUCUAGAACGUUUGACCUCACUUAGUGCCUUCGUGGAUCACUUGUAAAGUGUCCCACAUUGCCUUGGCACUAUCGCAUUGAGAAACUCUAAAGAAAUCAUCGUAUGAGAGUGCGGAAGUUAGAAUGUUUUUUUGCUUUCAAAUCGAAUUGCAUUUUUCUCUUUUCCUCAUUGGUCAAGAGACUUCUAGGUUUCUCUUUCAUUUUUUCGUUCACUACGUGUAGUGGAAUGAAAGGUCCGUUUUCCACGGAAUCCUAAAUUUCUAUAUCGAUGGCCUCAAUAAAAAAUUUCAUUCGGACUUUCCAGUAGGCGUAUCCGUCGCCACUGAAGGGGUAGGUGGAACCCAUAUGAUUUCCCUUUAUGAUCACGCGUAGGCGGUUGAGCUAGCAUGUCGUACUAGCUCCGAUACCACUUGUUAGGUAUCAGUGGAUAGAACACACCUAGAAGGGGUGGGGUUGAAUAGGUGUCGCGGUAAUCAAUUACCGCUUUUCGCAUCGAAGCCCUAUUCUGGAAAAAGCCACAGUGAAUCGAUUAACGCUCUGCUUUAAUCGAUUAACACACAACAAAACAACAAGUUGCAUAAUGGCUUCUUGCAUAGCCACUCACUAAUGUUCAAGAACAGAUAAAGCAUAUAUUUUUAUACAUAAUUAAACUAGAUACAACAACCUAACAGUAUCCAAAAUAUCAGCUAAUAUCAUGCAAUAAUAAGACUUGAAAUGUAAAGAGAUUAGCGAUAGAAAAAGCCUGCAACAAGGAAUUUUAUCUUGUUUUGUUUGCAGGUCAACUUGCAAACUACAUCAAUGCCUCCGUUAUUGAUCUCAAGAGAUUUUCUGCACUAAUAUUGAAAAGAAUGUAUAGUUACAUGCAAACUUCCAAUACAACACUUAGACACUCCCUUCUUGAAUCCAAGAACCCACUUUCUUGGUUUAGAACCUUUCUUACGAUCUAGCCCCAGUCAAAAACUUGCUCUAAACUCAAGACCUCUAAGUCUUGGUGAAGACUCAUUGACUCUUAGGUUGUAAGACACCAAUAGACAAAUUCCCUUAUUACAAAAACAUAGUAAUAUUAUGCACAAUUUUGCCCAAAAUGUUACAAUUAAAACUCAGCUAUAAACCUUAUACAAAACUCACAAGAUAACAUGAAUAUGUAUGAGUUUAUUAAAAUGCAGAAACACAUAAUUUCUACCCUAAAAUUCUAUUAAAGAAAUGCAAGUAAUAGGCAAGAAAAGAUAGGAAUGUUUAACAUAUAAACCACGUGCAAUAAAUGACAAUUAAAGCCUAAGCAUGAUACUUUCUCUCACUAUCUCACAAUGCAUUUCACUCUGUCUAUAUAACACAAUUAAACACAAAAAAUAUGCAACUAAUGUUAGGUAUUAGUGGACAAAACACACCUAGAAGGAGGGGAGGUUGAAUAGGUGUUGCGGUUACCAUUUACCGCUUUUUGCACCGAAGCCCUAUUCUGGAAAAAGCUCCAGUUAAUCGAUUAACAGUCUAUCUUAAUUAAUCAAUUAACUCACAUAAAACAACAAGUUGUAAAGUGGCUUAUUGCUCAGCCACUCACCGGUAAUCAGAUACAGAUACAAAAAAUAUACUUGAACAUAAUUAAACUCAGUAUGGUAAUAUUACAGUAUCCAAAAUUAUCAGCUACAAUUAGGCAAUUAUUACAACUUUAAAUAAAAGAGAUUAAGGAUAGAAAGAGCCUGCAACAAGGAAUUUUAUCUUGGUCCGUUUGCAGGUCCACAUGCAAACUACAUCCAAGCCUCCCCUUCUAAUCUUAGAAGAUUUUCUUCACUAAUAUUGAAACGAAUGUAUUUUUACAUGCGCACUUCCAAUAUACAAACUUAGAUGCUCCCUUCUUGAUUCCAAGAACCUAAUUUCUCGGUUUGACUCACCUAAUGGCCUAAGAAUACCUUUCUUAAAAUCUAGCCCCAACCAAGAAACGUUCUAAACUCAAGUCCUCUAAGUCUUAGUGAAGACUCACUGAGUCUCUUUGGUGGUACGAAACCAAGAGAUGAUUUCCCUGAUUAGAACUCUAAAACAUUACAAAAAAUAGAGUAUUAUCAAGCAUAAUAUAGCUCAAAAUAUAACAAUUAAAUCUCAGCUAAAACCCUAUACAAGACUCACAAGUAAGCAUGAAUAUGUAUGAGUUAAUUGAUGUCCAAAAAUAGAGAAUUUCUAUCCUUAAAUUAUUCUAAAUAAAUGCAAGAAUCAUGUAAAAGAAGAUAGAAAAUGUUAACACAUUAAUCACAUGCAAUUAUAUCACAAUUAAGCCCUAAACAUGAUAUUAUCUCUCACUAUCUCGCUAUGCAUUUCUCCCUGCCUAAAAUGACACAAAUGAGCACGAAAAAUAUGCAACUUAACAAUUCUAAAAUGAAUGAUAUGAUGUGUUGAAAACGAUUGAGAACAACUCAAUUUAGUUUUUCAGUUAUCUGUUAAAACUGAUUUCACGUUAAUCGAUUAACUCAUUACUUAAUCGAUUAACUAGCAUAUUUUUAAGUUAAAUGAUAAAAUGGUAAACUACCUAUAUGUUAUUGUUAUCAUCUAUACAUGUGUUACAAGUAUAUUAUGCCUAUGAUGUACAAAUAACAUGUAUGAUUUAUGCAUGAACAUAUAAUAAUCUAGAUGGAAUGUCUCAUGUAAAUGAUUUGAUUAUUUUUAAGACUUGUGAGAAUUGCACCUAGGUUUACCUAACCUAGACUCAAUAUCUAAGACACAUAUCUAUGACUCUUGUAAGAUAUGAGAUCCUUGAGUCCAUGGCAUGUUCAUUUGUUGAGUCAUCUUCAAGCUUUCCAUGAAUCCUUGUCUUCGUCAAAACAUAGGCAAUUUAAUAGUGCAACACUUUGACACUUGCACUUUCAACUAACAAUUCUAAAAAUGAAUGAUAUGAUGUAUGGUACAUGAUAUAAAAACACAAUUUUUAUAGAAAACCUUUUUGAGACCCAGUUAAUCGAUUAAGUACCCAUUUAAUCAAUUAACGGGUUGUUGGGAAUAAUUGUUUUCAGGUUUUCAGUUAUCUGUUAAAACUGUAAUAACGUUAAUCGAUUAAUUCAUCCCUUAAUCGAUUAACUAGCACAUUUUUCAGCUAAAUGAUUAAAUGGCAAACAACCUAUAUGUUAUGCUUAUCAACUAUACAUGUUUUACCAAUAUAUUAUGCCUAAGAUGCACAAGUGACAUGUAUGAUUAAUGCAUGAACACAUAAUGAUCUAGAUGGAAUGUCUCAUGUAAAUGAAAUGAUUAUUUUUAAGGCUUGUUAGAAUUGCAUCUAGGUUUACCUAACCUAGACUCAAUAUCUAAAGCACACAUCUUAGACUUCAAAAAAUAACUCUAUUAAAGAACCUAGUCUAGAUAUGAAACCCUUGAGUCCACGGCAUGUUGAUUUUUUGUUUCAUCUUCAAGCUUUCACUAAAUCCUUGUCUUCAUCAAAACAUAAGCAAUCCCAUAGUGCUAUACUUGACACUUUGCACUUUCAAGAAGAACUGGUGAAGCAGGAUGAACUAGAAGCUGGAUUAUGGUGCCUAACUGUGCGCUAACCUAGACCCCACAAAGGGUGUUGGUCGAUUAAGACAAUAAGACGGUGGUCAUGGAAGUCGAAAUCCGCUAAGGAAUGUGUAAGAACUCACCUGCCGAAUCAACUAGCCCCGAAAAUGGAUGGCGCUAAAGCGCACGACCUAUACCCGACCAUCGGGAGAAGGGUCAGACUCUGAUGAGUAGGACGGUGCAAGAGUCGCUACAAAACCUAGGGCAUGAGUUCGAGUGGAGCGAUCGUCAGUGCAGAUCUUGGUGGUAGUAGCAAAUAUUCAAAUGAGAACUUUGACGGUUGAAGCGGGGAGAGGUUCUAUGUGAACGACACUUGCACAUGGGUUAGUCGAUCCUAAGGGACGGGGGAAGCCCGUCUGAUAGCGCUCUAAGCAUGCACUCCGAAAGGGAAUCAGGUUAAAAUUCCUGAACCAUGACGUGGAGGCUGAUGACAAUGUUAGGGAGUCCGGAGACGUCGGCAGGGGACCCGAAAAGAGUUAUCUUUUCUAUUUAACAUCCUUCCCACCCUGGGAACGGCUCAGCUGGAGGUAGGUUCCAGUGGCUGGAAGAGCACCGCACGUCGCAUGGUGUUCCGUGCGCCCCUGGUGCCCCUUGAAAAUUCGGAGGAUGAUGUGCCUCCCAUGCCCGGUCGUACUCAUAACUGCUUCAGGUCUCCAAAGGUGAACAACCUUUGGUCGAUAGAACAAUGUAGGCAAGAGAAGUUGGCAAAACGGAUCCAUAACCUCUAUCAAGGUUCUGGUUUGGUGACUCACUAAUGGGUUGGGCGUGCCGAGGCUUCUAGUGUGACCUUUUCUGCAUGGAAGGAUGUGGUGUUAGGUGAAUCCUAUAGGGGCAUAGCCGCAACAUGAAUGGGCACAUGUUCAAUCAUCCGGAAGUGUGUUGUGGGUGGCGGGCGUGCCGAGGCUUCUAGUGUGACCUUUUCUACAUGGAAGGAUGUGGUGUUAGGUGAAUCCUAUAGGGGCAUAGCCGCAACAUGAAUGGGCACAUGUUCAAUCAUCCGGAAGUGUGUUGCGGGCUGGUUUGCACGGUUGAAGUCAAGGUGCAUUCGUCUGUGAUGCUAGCAACAAUGUCUCUCCGGAAGGCUAGUCCCUUAGAAAUGUGUUGGUUGUUGAGGUGUUGGAUUGGUCCCACAGUGCUGAGUUGGUAGUUAUGGCAUCCCACAAACAUUUUGAGCUUCUUGUGUGACCAAUCUUGCAUGGAAGGAUGUGGUGCUGGGUGAAAUCAAUGUGCGAUGGUAGUGUGUUUACAGAUGGUUUUCAUGGUUGAAGUCAAGGUGUGGUGGUGUAAGACAAACGCAAUAAUGCUGCGCGAUGUAGGCUUGUCCCACAUAAAUAUGUGCGCACCUCGAGAAAUAUGUGCGCACCUAGGCAUAUAUGUUUCCUAUGAGGCCCUUUUCGCCAUGGAAGGACGUGGUGUUAGGUGAUUCCCUAAGGGCUGAGCCGCACCAUGUACAAGGGUGAGCUUGUUUGUCGGCAGUGUGUUGUGGGAGGAUUUGGCAGUCAGAUAAAUUUUGAACCUUGGUCCUUAUCGAUGUUGGCGAUUACCUUUAUUGUUCGCGCCUGAUGUAGCGGAUCCGGCGACACAAUGUGUUUCAAUUUGCUUACUUGCCAUUGGCAUUGUGGGGUGUGGUUCGUGUGGUAUUGUCAAGUCUGUCUAACAGGAGGGCGCAUGAGUGACAAUUGGGAUGUUGAUGCUUUCUGGCUCCAUGAUCAUGGUCAUCGAACUUUCAGCACACAACCCUUCCCAUGUUCACCUUGUGUCAUUUCGGUCUCGAUAUUCAAUUAUGGUUCUUGUGUUGCCUACCCGUUACGUGGUAUUCAUGCGCCUCUUAUGAACCGUUCCCUCCAGACCCCUUCUAGAGGUCAUUGGAUGAUUCGAAAGUGAUGUGUGUAGCUGUGAAUUGUGAUGGCUUGCGUUCUCAUGUGUGACUAGUGUUCCCUUGGACGUGGUGCAUGCAGGGAACGCGAGCUGAUGAGUCUGCUCCAUUGAGUCCCUUUGAUUUAUCGAUUCCCUUGAAUAAGACUUUACCGUGGUAUUGGUCUUGCUUAACCAUUUGUGCUGGCAACACUUGCACGUCGAGCAAAGUCGUUGAUGGAUGCUACCUGGUUGAUCUUACCAGUAGUCAUAUCCUUGUCUCAAAGAUUAAGCCAUGCAUGUAUAAGUAUGAACUAAUUCAGACUAUGGAAUAGUGAAAUGGCUCAUUAAAUCAGAUAUAGUUUGUUUGAUGAUAUCUACUACUCGGAUAACCAUAGUAAUUCUAGAGCUACUACGUGCAACAAACCCCGACUUCUAGGAAUGGAUGCAUUUAUUAGAUAACAGGUCGAUGUAGGCUUUGUCUAUUGCUUUGAUGAUUCAUGAUAGCUCGUUAGAUCGCACGACCUUUGUGUUGGCGAUGCAUCAUUCAAAUUUCUGUCCUAUCAACUUUCGAUGGUAGGAUAGUGGCCUACCAUUGUGGUGACAGGUUAGGGAGGAUUAUGGUUCAAUUAUGGAGAGCGCGCUAGAGAAACGUCUAUAACAUCCAAGGAAGGCAGCAGGCGCGCAAAUUACCCAAUCCUGACACGGGGAGGUAGUGACAAUAAAUAACAAUACCGGGCUCAUUGAGUCGAGUAAUUGGAAUGAGUAAAAUCUAAAUCCCUCAACGAGGAUCCAUUAGAAGGCAAGUCUGGUGCCAGCACCCAUGGUAAUUCUAGCUCCAAUAGCAUAUAUUUAAGUUGUUGGAGUUAAAAAGCUAGUAGUUGGACCUUGGGUUCGGUCGCUCGGUCCGCCAUUGGUGUGCACCGGUUGGCUCGUCCCUUCUGGUCAGGUCGUGCAUCCGGCGCUGUUACUUUGAAUAAAUUAGCGAGCUCAAAUCAAGCCUACGCUCUGGAUACAUUAGCAUGGGCUAACACCACAGGAUUCUUAUCAUAUUGUGUUGGCCUUCGGGAUCAGAGUAAUGAUUAACAUGGACAAUCGGGGGCAUUCGUAUUUCAUAGGCAGAGGUGAAAUUCAUGGAUUUAUAAAAUACGAACAACUCUGAAAGCAUUUGCCAAGGAUGUUUUCAUUAAUCAAGAAUGAAAGUUGGGGGCUCGAAGACGAUUAGAUACCGUCCUAGUCUCAACCAUAAACGAUGCCGACCAGGGAUCAGUGGAUGUUGCUUUUAGUACUCCACUGGCACCUUAUGAGAAAUCAAAGUCUUUUGGAUCCGGGGGGAGUAUGCUCGCAAGGCUAAAACUUAAAGGAAUUGACAGAAGGGCACCACCAUGAGUGGAGCCUGCGGCUUAAUUUGACGCAACAUAGGGAAACUUACUAGGUCCAGACAUAGUAAGGAUUGACAGAUUGAGAGGUCUUUCUUGAUUCUGUGGGUGCUAGUGCAUGACCAUUCUUAGUUGGUGGAGCAAUUUGUUUGGUUAAUUUCGUUAACGAACGAGACCUCAACCUGCUAACUCGCUAUGUGGAGGUAACCCUUCAUGUCCAGCUUCUUAGAGGGACUGUGGCCGCCUAGGCCAUGAAAGUUCGAGGUUAUAAUAGGUCUGUGAUGCCCUUAGAUGUUCUAGGCCAUACGCGCGCUACAUUGAUGUAUUCAACGAGUCUAUAGCCUUGGCCGACAGGCCCAAGUAAUCUUUGAAAUUUUAUCGUGAUGGGGAUAGAUCAUUGCAAUUGUUGGUCUUCAACGAGGAAUUCCUAGUAAGCACGAGUCAUCAGCUCGGGUUGAUGUUGAAAGAAUUUUCUUUUUUUUCAAAGUGGUUUAUCCCCUCAACAAAUUGUCCCCGAUAGUGGCGCCAAUUUGUUGAAAGUGAAAACUUUCUCUUCGUCGGUGUGUUUUAUUUAUUUGGUUAAGUAAGUGAACUCGAUUUUAUUCUUUGUUCGCCAUCUCGGCUUUGUUGAAAUAAAUUCCAAAACCGGUAUAAUGGUUUAAAGACUAUUCUAGUUACAACUUACUUCUAAUAAUCAUGUGAAUAAGUUAUUCCUUUUUUGCUCCAUCUCGGCUUUGUUAGAAUAAAUUCUAACGCCAGUAUAAUGGUAUCGAAGCAAUCCGCUAUUACAUAAUUAUUAAGUACCUUUGAAUACCAUCCCGGUUUUGUGGAAUAAAUUCCAACACUGGUUUAAUGGUAUUCUAAUGUACAAAAGUGAUGAAUAGUUAGUUGUUAGAAACAAAUAAAUAAAUAAAGAAUAAAUUCCAACACCGGUUUAAUUGUAUUCUAAUGUACACAAGUGAUGAAUAGUUAGUUGUUAGAAACAAAUAAAUAACUAAAGAACAAAAGAAUAAUAAAGUUAAGUGACCUUUAUUUAUUUACUCCAUUUUGGAUUCCUUUUAUUAACAAACCAAACUUCUUCCUUAAGGAAGGUUGGUAUUAAAGAAUAAAUAAAUUGCGGAAAGUAAAUAACAAUAAAAUAAAAGUUAGUAAGUUAGUUUCAUUACUUUUGUAUAUUAAAAUGGGUUUCAACAAAUAACUUUAUUGAUAACACUUUACUAUUUUACAAUUUACACCUCUUUCAAGAUUCAAUUGUAGUAUAGUAUAUGGUUAUGUCGAACCACAAGGAAUUGCCUAAUAGCAUGAAUCAUAUGAAUAUGUCAAUGCACAAAUAAUGAGUGAACAUAUUUUGGUUGUUUUUGGUCUGAUAUGCACAUAAACACUUUAACAAGAAAUAUAAACUAAGUAUUCACAAAUUCUUGAGGAGACAAGAUCAUUUUGAAUGAUGAAAGAAUUUCUUAACUUCUUAUGUAUUUGAACUACUUAGACAAGUUCUUAUGUUUUACUUUGAUUAACUGGAAACACCAAGGUCUGAAAUCCUCCUUUUAGUGUAUGUCCUAAACAAAGAGUGUUACAUUCAAAAAGAGACUAGGUUGUCACACCCUAAUCUUGACUACUCUAAUAUUGAAGUAGUAAUGAAUAUAAGAUCUUAAGAAAAGCAUGCUUAACUUGGCAAAUAAACUAAGUAGUACAACUACUUCUUAGUUUAUUUGUUAAUUGUUUGAGACAAGUAAUUUUUCAUUACUUGAAAUCGGUUUUUAGGUGGUCAAUCUAAAAAGAGCUUUAAGAACUUCUCUAACAAAUAAAAUUAACCAAAACACCAAUUUGAAUGAUUAAAAUUCGAAUUUAGAAUAAAAGAAGAAGAAGAAAUACUUAAUCAACUUUAAAAUGAAAUUGUUAGGAGCAUAUGCCAUCCAUCCAAGGAUUGGAUGCUUUAAGUUCCAAAUGAGAUUACAAAAUGGAUUUUUGCAUCUCAAUUGCCUUCUCCUUUCUCCCCUUGAAUUAUAAACUAAAAACUAUAAAACUUACUUAAAUAGAACUUCUAUGAACUAAGAAUAAGAUGAGAGAAUUGUUUUUUUCACUUUAGGGAAGAAUAUUUUCAACGCAAGAAGAUAUCUCUUUGUGAAGGAAAUGCCUUCCUAUUUAUAGAAUUUCCCUGGCACCGCUGAGCUACUUGGUUGCAUCGCUCAACAGCUGACCAAACCCUUCAACAUGGGUUUGGUCACUUGGUCAAGUAGGUUUGUCACCUCCUUAAACUUGACUCACCAAAGCUAGUUGUCAGCUAUGGGACCAGCUAUGGUGAGCUACUCCUGAAAAGCCUAUGGUGGGCUACUUGAAGUGAUGUCAUGCAUGACUUCAUGGUUUCUUGAUGGCUAAGUCAAGUCUGGAGCACACCGCUGACCACACAUGUUGCACCGCUAAGUUGCUUGUUGAGCAGCUUUGACCGUGAUACUAAGACAUGGCUUGGUGCUUGUUGACCUGGUCAGGUGUCUAGUUCACCGCUGAGCACACAUGUGUCACCGCUGAGCUGCUGCUUGAGCAGCUUGGGCAUGUGCCAUGCUUGUGUCUGACCGUGCCAAGCUUAAGUUCUAACUGUGUCAGUUUUGUCUGGUGCUAGGCUGGGCGGUCAAAAAGGUCCACUUAACUGCCUGCUUGAGCAACUUGGUCUGUGCCAGGAUGGUUUGACUGAGCCAGGCUGGUGUCCAGGUCAGCUCAGCGUCGCUUGUUCCAUGCUAAGCUGCCUGCUUGAGCACCUUUAUUUUGACUUCUUUUUCUUCUAAGACCAUGAGUCUUUAUUCUCUUUUCUUUUUCUUUCUAAAUCCUACAAAACACAUUAAAGAGAAAUACAAACACAAAUAUACAAGAUUGUGAUAUUUUAUCCAAAAAGUAUUGUUUUAAGUUGGUUUUUCUCAAUUAUGCUUAAGAUAAGUGCCAUAAAAAUGUAUGAAAUUUAUGUAUGUUUGGCACUUAUUAGUUGACUAUGUCCCUGCCCUUUGUACACACCGUUCGUCGCUCCUACCAAUUGAAUGGUUUAAUGAAGUUUUCGGAUUGCGGCGACGUGGGCGGUUCGCUGCCAGCGACGUUGAGUGUUGGAUACUAGUAAGGUAAGAUUACACCUAGAGGGGGGUGAAUAGGUGUCGUAGAUCACCAGUCUGAAAGUGCAAAGUGUCAAGAAUGGCACUAACAUGUCUUUGUCUAUGUUUUGAUGAAGACAAGGUUUUAACAAAGCUUGAAGAUGGCUCAACAAUCAAUAGGCCUUAUGCUCAUUUGGUCAUGUCUAGACUAGGAUAUAAGUUGAGUCUUUAAUCUAUGUAGUCUGGGAUGUGUGCCAUAGUAAGUGAGUAUAGGUUAGGUGAACCUAGAUGCUAGUCUAUUAAACCAUCUUAAUUGACAUAUCAUAUUCAUGAGAUACAUCAUCUAGUUAAUUGUUUAUUCAUGCAUCGAUCAUACAUGUUAUAUGUGCAUAUUAGGCAUAAUAUAAUUGGAAAAACAUGUAUAUAUAUUGUGCAUAACAUAUGAGAAGUUUACCAUUUGAAACAUAUGCAUAAAUGUUCCAGUUAAUCGAUUAACGUGGUAACUUAAUCGACUAACUCAACUGUUUUUCUUUUAAAUAUGUGUUUUCUGUUUUAACUGAAUUCUGUGUCAUUUUGGUGUCCCGUUAAUCGAUUAAAUGGAAGCCUUAAUCGAUUAACUAGUUUGUUAUGUAUUAUAACUGAAAUCUAUUUUAACUGUUUUAACUAUUUAACUGUUUAACUGUUUUUGCAACGAAUGUAACCACUUAUUCUCCAUGCUAUAAAUACAAGGUAUCACUCAGAAACUCAUAGCAUCGCAUGCUAUUCUAUUGGGCUGUUUAGAGAGCAUUUUUCAUACGUGUUUUACUGUGUUUUUUCUAGAGAGUUGCAUGUGUGAGACGAGAGAUUAUGUUGUUUUAAUUGCUGUCAUAUGCUUCCUAUUUUUGCAUAAUUUCGUAUCCAUUCUUAUCUUGCUCACAUGAUCAUGCAUUAGAUUUUGAUAGUGAGAAAUCAAUUGUAUACUGAUAUUGANNNNNNNNNNNNNNNNNNNNNNNNNNNNNNNNNNNNNNNNNNNNNNNNNNNNNNNNNNNNNNNNNNNNNNNNNNNNNNNNNNNNNNNNNNNNNNNNNNNNCUUAAGUGAUUAGUAAAAGGGUUAAUCUUUGAGUCUUUAUCUUGUAAUAUUUUAAGCAUUAUUGUGCUUAGUAUACCUUGUUGUUUAACGUGUUUUUGUGUAGUUUGGAUUUGUCUCUUGGUGUGAGAUCACCAUAGAGAUUGAAGUUCUUCACCAAGGCUAGGAGGUCUUGAUUUGAGGAUAAGAAUCUUGGCUGGGGCUAGUUCGCCCAAAAGGUUUUCUCAAGAGGUGAAGGAUAGAGUCAAACCAAGGAUUUAGAGAUCUUAGAUUUCAAGAAGGGAGCGUCCUAUGUUCUAGUAAUUGAAUUGGUAUUUGUAUCCAUUUUUCAAUAUUGUGAAGAAAGAAAAUCUCUCUGAUCCAGAAGGGGAGGCUUGGAUGUAGUUUGCAGUGGACCGCAAACGAAGCAGGAUAAAAAUCAUUUUUGCAUUGUUCUUUCUCUCUUUAUCUUCUUUAUGUUUCUUGCCAUUACAAAUUAAUCUAUAAUUGAAAAGUUGGAUAUUUGUUUACUGCCAUAUACUUAAUAAUUGUGGGUAAAAAUAUCUCAAUUAUAUAUGUUCAAUUUUGUUUUAAUUACUAUGCAAUUUUCCUGACUGAUCAUUCUGUUCUCUGCAAUAGUUAAUCGAUUAAACCCUCAUAUUAAUCGAUUAACUAGUUUUCCAGCAGUUGGGUUUUGGUUCAAGAAGCAAUGAUUUUUAACCGCUACACCUAUUCACCGCCCCUUCUAGGUGUUCCUUGACCACUAAUACCUAACAAGUGGUAUCAGAGCUAGUACGAUGUGCUAGCUCAGUCGCAUUUGCGUGAUCCGAAGGGAAUUAAAAUGGGUUCCACCAACCCCUUUGGCGGUGAUGGCGCAUCCAUUACCUGCCCUCCCAUAUUCAGUGGCAAGGGUUAUGCCUAAUAGAAAGUCCGAAUGAAAAUAUUCAUUGAGGCUAUUGAUUCAUAUAUUUGGGAAUCCGUAAUUAGUGGCCACUUCGCCCCACUUCACUUAGUGGAUGGCGAACCGAAAGAAAGGCCAAAAAGCUUAUGGACUGAUGAGGAGCGCAAGAAGGUCCAGUUCAACCUUCGCCCCAAGAACAUCAUUACAUUGACCCUUUCCUACGAUGAAUUCUUUCGGGUGUCCCAAUGUCAAAGUGCCAAGGAAAUGUGGGACUCUUUACAAGUGACUCACGAAGGCACUAGCAAAGUCAAGCGCGCCCGGUUAAAUGCGCUAACUCACGAAUACAAAUUGUUUCGUAUGCUACCAAGUGAAUCAAUCGUUGAUAUGCAAAAACGAUUCACUCACAUCAUGAACCAUCUUAUCGCUUUAGAUAAGGUGUUCACCAAAGGAGAGCUCACUAAUAAAGUCUUACGUUGUCUUGACAGGAGAUGGCAACCUAAAGUAACAGCAAUCAUGGACUCCAAGGAUCUAGACUCCAUGCCUUUGGAACCACUCUUUGGAAAGCUUCAAGAGCAUGAGAUGUAGCUUGGGCGUCUGACAAUGCAUGAGGAGUCCGAUCGCAAAAAGAAGGGCUUCUCUCUCAAAGCUUCAACAUCACAACCCAUUGAAGAGGUAGAUAAUGUAGACUCCGAUUCAGACUUUGACGAGGAAACGCUAAACCUCCUAGUACGAAAAGAGCGCUUCACUUGCCAUGAAUGUGGUAAGCCAGAAAACAUGAAGUAUCAGUACCCUACUUAUCUGAAAAGAGUUGAUUCGGAGAAGAGCAAUCCCCGGGACUUCAAAUCAAAGAAAGCAUACAUCGUCUGGGAUGUACCGGAGGAAGAAACAACAUCAAGCACCUUGGAUGAAGAGGAGACCGCGAAGCUGUGCUUAAUGACUAUUAUAGAUGAGGCUUGCGGAUCAGGUAGCAAGGAUACUUUAGAUGAGGUAUACUCUGACACAUCCUCUUCUUCUUCUAACUCUCCCUCAUAUGAAAUAUUAUAUAGUGCUUAUGUUGAGAUGCAUGAAGAAAUUAGCAAAGUUAAGUAACGAAUCACCCCAUUGCUUUUUCCCUCCAUAAACCGUCUUCCUCAUCUCCUAUUGCCAAGCAUUUGUUUUUCCCCAAAUUCAAAACCUCACCCUAGGUUUUCCUCGACCAUCCUUUAAGCCUUCAUCAGGAUUCAGUGUUUGAUUACUAUGGAUAAAGGACGUGGAAAGAGAAUCAAGACAACCGCACAAUGUCCACCACGUGCUCCAAAAACAGUGCCUCCGCCACAACCAAGCCAGAACCAUGGGGACCCAUACUACUCUCUAAUUAUACAAGAAACUCGGUUGCAGAAAUUUCAAGGAAGAAAAUCCACCUAUAUCCGGUUUGCGAAUGUGACUUGGCUUGCAGAACAGAACUUCGAAUUUCCACAUGGCUUACAAGCUCCAGGGGUUGUCCCCUUCUUGGAAUUGAAAGGUAAUAUUUACCCUACUCUAGUUAGGGAGUAUUACGCAAAUUUUAGAUAUAAAUAUGGUCAAUAUUGGUCGAUGGUAGCUGGAAAAUUGUUUGAGAUUAACGAAGAAAUCUUUAUGAAUGUGGGUGGUUUAGCUUUUUCCGGUGCUAGUCUGAGUGAUUGUGGUUGGGAAAGCGACAACUCAUUCGAUGUUGUUGAAAUAUAUAAGUCAUGUUUGCGUAGACAUCAACUCUAUGUCCAAGGCGAAUUGACCAAAGCUGGGUCACUUUCCGUAGAAAACACACUCCUACACUACUUGAUUGCCUACAUACUGAUUCAGAGAAACAUAAAUCAUGCACAACCUACCAUGAAUGAUUUGAGGUUUAUGUUUACUGUGAAAGAGAACAUCAUGAUAAACUGGCCUGAUGAAAUUCUGAAGGUCAUGUAUAGCGUCUCAGUCUCUCAAUCAAGACUACUUCAGUAUAGUAUCUUCAUAUCCCGAGUAAUUGACUAUUUUCACAUUGAUAUUUCAGAUACUAUUGUGACGGACUGCUCAGACAAGGAUUACUUGAUUGGUGAGAGCAUAAUUCAUAAGAUGGGCAUCUACAAGUAUGGCAACACUUGGCAAUAUCAAGAGGACUUCAACAAUGCCAACCUUGAUCCUUCCGGUGAAGAUGAUUAAGACAUGAACCUAAAGUCAUUUGUUGUAACUCAGGGGGAGUAUUCUGGACAUGCAUCACAAGAACCUGCAUUUGGACAAACUUAUAUUGAUGCUAUGGAACAACGUCUCAAUAAUAGGAUGGACCUUCACUUUCAGUCUCUCAAGGAUUUAUAUCAUACGAAUUUGGAACAUUUUGAGGAACGUCAGAAUGCAUACAUUGACAACCAUUACCAAUCCUUGCGGAACCAUAUUCAGUCUGCUAAUGAGUCUCAGAAUAGAAGAAUGAUUGCUGAGUUCAACAAGCUGAGUGUCUUCAUCAAGGGUUGUUGUAGCUCGUCGACUCCUGACAACCAGAAUCCUCCAUCACAUCCUUAGAUUGGAACCUUUAGAGCCUUAGUUUAGUCUUCCUAGCUAAUGGACUUUGUUGAUCCUGUUUCCUCUUCAGAUCUUAUGUUUUGUGUUGCGUUACUGUUUUAUUUGGAUUGUAAUAACUCAUAUCUACUGCUGAACUAAUGUUUUACAUUCUGUGGUCAAAUGAUUUCAAAUUAUCGCGUUUAUACUUGCUUGUUAAUUAUGUUGCAUAUAGCACCUCACUUUGUUUGAAAUGUAUCUUGAUCAUGAUUGGUAUAUGUGAUUAUGUUGAAUGAUUAUGCCUAUUUUAAACUGCUUAAAUUAUCAAAUGCAUAAUCAUUCCAUGCUUGGUUUGCUUAUGCAUAACCCCUCAUUCAUAACCCCUCUUGUCAUUCAAAUUGUUCUAUGGCUAUCUACUGUCAUUUUAAUCGAUUAACAAGAUACUCUUAAUUGAUUAAAUGAUGUAAAAAUUGUGAAUUUGUUCAAGCUUCUUAACAGCUGAUUAAUUGGUUCAAAACCCAAGGUUAAUUGAUUAAUUUCUGUCUUGUCUUAACCAUAAUAACUCUCCUAACUUUUGACUAGAAUUGAAUACGUUUAUCUUUUUGAUAAUGUCAAAACGGGGAGAAAGAUUGCUUGUUGUGUUAUAUACAUUUUUGCAGGUUUGUGUAGUGUUUUUGCAGGUUGUUCUAUCAAGCUUCCGUACAUAUUUUUGCGUACCUACAAGGAAACAAAUGCGCUUUAACUUUGCUCUCAUAAAAACAACCUCAAUCAACCUCAUUGCAAAAUCAUCAUCAAGCUUAUCCAUCAAUAAUUGAAGAAUUUUGAUGAAGUGUUUGUCAUCAUCAAAAAUGGGGAGAUUGAAAGUCCAAAGUGUCAUGAAUAGCACUAGCAUGUCUUUGCCUAUGUUUUAAUGAAUACAUGGUUUUAACAAAGCUUGAAGAUGGCUCAACAAUCAAUAGGCCUUAUGCUCAUUUGGUCAUGUCUAGACUAGGAUAUAAAUUGAGUCUGUAAUCUAAGUUGUCUGGGAUGUGUGUCGUAGUAAUUGAGUAUAGGUUAGGUGAACCUAGAUGCUAGUCUCUUACGCAAUCUUAAUUCACAUAUCAUAUUCAUGAGAUACAUCAUCUAGUUAAUUGUAUCUUCAUGCAUCUAUCAUAUAUGUAAUAGCAUAUUAGGCAUAAUAUAAUUGGUAAAACAUGUAUAUAUAUUGUGCAUAACAUAUGAGAAUUUUACCAUUUGAAAAAUAUGCAUAAAUGUUCCAGUUAAUUGAUUAACGUGGCAACUUAAUCGAUUAACUUAACUGCUUUUCUUUUAAAUAUAUAUUUUCUGUUUUAACUGAAUUUUGUGUCAUUUUGUUGUCCCGUAAAUCGAUUAAAUGGAAGCCUUAAUCGAUUAACUAGUUUGUUAUGUGUUAUAACUGAAAUCUGUUUUAACUGUUUCAACUGUUUAACUGUUUAACUAUUGUUGCAACGAAUGUAACCACUUAUUCUCCAUGUUAUAAAUACAAGGCAUCAGUCAGAAACCCAUAGCAUUGCAUUCUAUUGUAUAGGGUUGUUUAGAGAGCAUUUGGCAUACGUGUUUUACNNNNNNNNNNNNNNNNNNNNNNNNNNNNNNNNNNNNNNNNNNNNNNNNNNNNNNNNNNNNNNNNNNNNNNNNNNNNNNNNNNNNNNNNNNNNNNNNNNNNAGAGUUGCAUGUGUGAGAAGAGAGAUUAUAAUGUUUUAAUUGCUGUCAUAUGCUUACUGUUUUUGCAUAAUUUCGUAUCCAUUCUUAUCUUGCUCACAUGAUCAUGCAUUAGAUUUUGAUAGAGAGAAAUGAUUUGUAUACUAAUAUUGAUUAACUCAUUUGAGUAUUGAUGGCUUAAGUGAUUAGGAAAAUGGUUAAUCUUUGAGUCUUUAUCUUGUAAUAUUCUAAGCAUUAUUGUGCUUAGUAUACCUUGAUGUUUAACGUGUUUUUGUGUAGUCUAGAUUUGUCUCUUGGUGUGAGAUCACCAUAGAGAUUGAAGUUUUUCACCAUGGCUAUGAGGUCUUGAUUUGAGGAUAAGAAUCUUGGCUUGGGCUAGUUCGUGAGAAAGGUUUUCUCAAGAGGGGAAGGGUAUAGUCAAACCAAGGAUUUAGAGAUCCUAGAUUUCAAGAAGGGAGCGUCCUAUGUGCUUGUAAUUAAAUUGGUUGUUUGUAUCCAUUUUUCAAUAUUGUGAAGAAAGAAAAUCUCUCUGAUCGAGAAGUGGAGGCCUGGAUAUAGUUUGCAGUGGACCGCAAACGAACCAGGAUAAAAAUCCUUUUUGCACUGUUCUUUCUCUCUUUAUCUUCUUUAUGUUUCUUGCCAUUACAAAUUGAAUCUGUAAUUGAAAAGUUAGAUGUUUGUUGACUGUCGUAUACUUAAUAAUUGUGCAUAAAAAUAUCUGAAUUAUAUCUGUUCAAUUUUGUUUUAAUUACUGUGCAAUUUGCAUGUUUGAUCAUUUUGUUUUGUGCAAUAGGUAAUCGAUUAAACCUUGUUGUUAAUCGAUUAAACCCUGUUGUUAAUCCAGCUGUUGGGUUUUGGUUCAAGAAGCGGUGAUUGUUAACAGCUACACCUAUUAAACCCCCUCCCCCUUCUAGGUGUUCCUAGACCUCUGAUACCUAACACAGUCCCACUUUUCCAAUAUUUGCGGAGAAUACAUAGUUGAUGCAAUUAAUCUAUUAUCGACAUGUUUAUUCGAUUAAGGACAGUUCAAUUAAUCGAUUAUUAUCAGUACGUUAAUCGAUUAUCCUGAUUGUUAUACUUUGAAAAUCAGUUUUCUUGCUUCAUAAAAACCGUGACGAUUCUUGGUCUUUACUAUCCUAAGAUUGAUUCUUGAUUAACAAAUGAUUAAAACAGUAAGCAAUUAUCACAAAAAACCAAUAAAAAUAGAAUGUAGUAAAGACAAAAUUGUAAAGAGAUAGGGAUAGAGAAAAAGCGCUCGAGGUUUUUUAUCAUGGUUUGUUUGCGGUCAACUUCAAACUACAUCUAGGCCAAUCAGUUGAUCUACGAGAUUUUUCUUCAGUUUUCAGAAAUGUAAUUUACAACCACACUUCCAAUACAACGAGACAAAAACUUCCUUCUUGUAACUGAUGAGCCACUAAGCUCGGUUUGACCCCUAAUCUAUGCCUACUUGGAUACCAUACCAUUUGUGCAAUUUUGCCCCAACCGAAACUCUUGCUUGAAUCAAGACUUUCUUUCUAAUGAAGACUCCUAAUUCUUAACCUGUGAUGAUACCACACAUCACGAGAAUUCUCCUCAAGUUAUAGAUUUUUCACCGAGUUAGAUAACGACUCUUAAUUCGGCUCUAAUCACCCUUGACAGAAAGAUCUCACAAACUUUUUGGCGCAAUGAAAAUGAUUCUCUCUAUUUUCUCUCUCUUUUCACUCUUGAAGCUUAUGAAAGAAAACCUCAAAGACACAACAAGAAAGCUUUGAAACUUUUUAGCACAAUGAAUCUUUAGUUUUCUCUCUCUCGGAUAAUUUCACAAUUCUUGUUCAAUUAAGGUGAAAAGCUGUUUUAAAAACGGAUUCAAUUCAGUUUCAAAAUAACAGAAUUAGCUCAUAACUUAUACAACAUAUGUUAAUCGAUUAAAUGUCCAUGUUAAUCGCUUAACAGUUUCUUUAAAAAAGGAUUUUUAGUUGUGGCUUAAUCGAUUAAAAAUGUGCUUAAUCGAUUAAUAGAUAGAAAUCCUGGGAGGUUACAUUCUGUAAAUCCAUUUAAUCGAUUAUGACUUUUCUUAAUCGAAUGAGGAUUUCUCUAGGGCUUAAUCGAUUACUAAACGGGUUAAUCGAUUAAAAUCGCUUAAAAUGGGUUUUCUAUUUAUGCGGUAAAUACCCUAUAUAAUGAAUGAGCAUGCAACAUGAUUAAUAGAAAGAAUAAACCCUUUAUGCACAAAACCAUGUAGGUAUGAACGCAAAUGCAUGAGUGUCAUUUAUCAUAUAUAUGUAUGAUGAUGUUAUGCCUCAUUCUAUAUGAUUUUCAUUUUAGACUUUUUGUGAGACACUUCCAUCUUGGGUUUACCUAACCUAAGACUCAAUACUACGCAAUUAACUUAGAACUCUAGAAUGCAAAAAGCAAUCCCAGACUCUUUGAUGUUGACCUUGAGUUCUUGGUGUGUUGUUUGUUGAGAUGUCCAAGUCUUCAAGCUUCCAUAUAAGACCUUGUCUUCAUCAGAACUUCGUAGGUCGGUUAUAAUGGCAUCUUUUGACUAUUUGCCAUUUCAAUCUCCCCCUUUUUGAUGAUGACAAACACUGAAACAAUUCCUUUGUUUGAUGACUUGAAGCUGGGCAAAAUCUGUUUGCAUAGGGUUGAAUCAAAAUGCGUUGCUCCCCCUCACUUUGUUCUCCCCCUCAAACCAUGUAAGAGGUAAUACUAGGGUAGCAACAUGAUUACUAGUGGAAGCUCACUUCAACCUGCAAAACUGCUCAAAGUACACCUUUCUCCCCCUUUUGGCGUGAUCAAAAAUCUAUGGCAGAUUAUGAUAUUAAAAGCCAAAAGUAAGGAAAGAUAUACACAUUUUACUGGUCUUAAUCGAUUAAUUAAUCAAGGAUAAUCGAUUAAGCAGUCUAAGUAAAAUUUUUACAAGUACAUAGAGUUUAGCAUUAAUCUAUUAUAAAAUGGAGUUAAUCGAUUAUGUAUGAAUAAAAACAGAUUAUUGUAGAAUUGAUUGCGAGAUUUAUCUAGUUAUAUAGGUUCAACAUGAAUUACAUAGAAUGAUCAAUGAUAAUGAUAGGCAAUAUGUAGAGCAGAUUAAUCAUUCAACAAUAUAUAUACACAUGUAGAUAACAUCAAAGGAUAACAUAAUAAUUUGAAACAUAACCCAAAUUAGCAACAAGUUUUACAAAAUAUAUGAGUAAGUGCAAACGAGUACAUAGAUUUCAACAUAAGUGCAACAAAAUACAAUCAAAAUAUUAUCAAACGCUAAGAGAUGAUCUCUAAAGCAGACCACAUACACACCUUAGACACACUAGAAAAUCCUAUCUAGGCUAAUCUUGUGUAGGUGGUAGUUGGAGUGAGCCAUGUGGAGCACGCACAAUCAACAUGAUGCGUUCUAGCUCUUCGAAAAGUCGUUGUUGUUACUGCUGAAAUUCAACUGCCAUAGAAUCCCUUAUGGUCUGAAAAUGUCCAUCAAUACGCGCAUUGAGGCUCUAUUCCUUAGCAUCCAUGUGAGCAAGCCCAAAAGGUAGAUCUUAAGGCUCAGUAGAUGCCUUUAUAGGUGGUUGCUCAAGGAUAGACUAACUAGGAUAUGCAAUAUUAUUUUCAUUUGGCAUAUCCUCAUUCACUUUGGCAGUAUGAUCUUCCUGAUAUUUCCCUUCAUCACCAUAUUUAUAAAUUCCCAUUUUGUGAAUCAGAUUAUCACCAACAAGGUACUCUCGGGAAAUUGUCAUAAUAGUGUCCACAUUAGUGGGUCAAUCUCAUAAUAGUCAAUAAUACGAGAGAUGAAUAUCUCGUAGGCGAGCAAUCUUGAUGAAGAUGAAGCUAUGCCCUGCAAAACUUUUAGAAUCUCUGAAGGCCAAUUCACCACAAUACCUUUCCGUAUAACGAACAUAAGCUUUAGAUCAUUGGCGGUGGGUUGAGCAUGGUUGGUAUUUAUCUGAACCAAUAUAUAUGCAAUCAAGUAGUGGAAAAGUCGGUUUUCUACAAUCAAUGACCCUGCCUUGGUUAAUUCCCCUUAUACAAAUAGGUGACAUCCUCUCAAGCAAGACUUGUACAUUUCAAUAGCAUCGAAUGAGUCCCAUGGCUUAUUUGCACAAUCACCUAGUCUCGGUCCAUCAGAAUCAAGACCUCGAACAUCCAAAAAUAACUCUCCCUUAAGAAUAAUCAUCUUCCCCAUUACCAUUGAAGAAUACACCUCAUCUUUAUACCUAAAAUUGCUAUAGAAUUCCCUAAUGAGCGAAGAAUAAAGCUUACCUUUCAAUUCCACAAAUUUUUUCAAUCCUUGGGUCUCUAACCCAUAUGGGAAUUGAAAGCCUUGUGCAACCAGCCAUUAUGCAUCCGCAUACCGGAUGUAGGUUUGCUUACGACCUUGAAACUUAGCCAAUUUGGCAUCUUGAAGAAAUGGAGAGUAGUAAGGGUCUCCACAAUUCUGUCGUCCUCCUUGAGCCGAGGAAAAGACCUUUUCUCCGCCUCUCGCAUGCUUGGCGGUGUGUUUCAUUCUCAUCCUUCUUGAUUCACUCAUCUUAGCAGGUAUAUCACUAAUUUAAUCGAUUCGAUAGUCCAGUUUUCGAAUUGGGGGUUUUAGGGUUUCUAAAGAGGGAUAGAUGGUUAAGAUUCAGAUUUUUGGUGAUUUAUGGUUGUAUAGAGAUGGAACAACUAAAUAGUAAUAGAGAUUGUUAUUAGUUCUAUUGGAAUACUCGAUUUAAGGAAAAGAUUCAAAAGGGGGGAAGCAAAGAGGAUUAGGGUUCUAUGUCAAAAAUAACCUAGAAUGACACUUGAAUCUGAUAUAGCGUUGUCGUUAAUCGAUUAUAUGCAUUAGUUUAAUCGACUAACCAACUUAAAGUUUUCAAAAAUUGAGAUUUUGGAUCCCAGCUAAUCGAUUAAAUUUUGACGAUAAUCGAUUAAUCAGAUGACGAUUUUCAGAGUUUCAAAAUAUUGAGCCCAAGCAAUCGAUUAAACGGACUUUUAAUCGAUUAAAUUGCAAGAUUAAAAUUUCUUUUGGCUACUGGAACUCAAAUUAAUUGAUUAAGGCAUAGAAGAAUUGAUUAUUGGCAGAGCUUAACACAUAUUUUAGUACAAUUUAUAGAUUUCUAGAAUAUGCUUAGAGUAUUAUUGCUAAGAUACAAACCUAAAGGAUUUUGACAUACUAAUAGAGCAUAAAAAUAGUCAUGAAGAUAAUCUAAACAAGGAAGCAUGCAUUCAUAACAUGUAUCAUUCAUAAGCAUGUAGUCAAGAUCAAGCAAGGCACAUAAUUACCUUCGGUACCUUAGUUUAGAUAUUUUUCAUCAGGUAUGCCAAGUUCUCUACGUAACAUAAAGAAAGCAUCUCGUGGAAGGGACUUGGUGAAAAUAUAUGCUAAUUGCUUCGAGGUUUCAACAAAUUCAAGUAUGCAAUCACCUUUCUGAACAUGAUCUCUUAAAAAAUGAUGUCUAAUCUCUAUAUGCUUAGUUCUAGAAUGCAGAAUUGGCUUUUUGUUCAAAGAGUUUUCAUGCUUGCUUUAUUUUGAGGUGGCGAGUUCCUAAUUAUUUUAUUUAAUGACAGGUUGAUUCUUUGCUCGCCACCUCGACUUUGUUGGAACAAAUUCUAAUCCCGGUAUAAUGGUUUCAAGAAUGUUACUUUAAUAAAAAAAACAUAGUUUUAUUGAAUUAUUAACAAUUUCAUACUAUCUCGGCUUUGUGGAAUAAAUUCCAACAUCGGUUUACAGGUAUGAAUUUAUCAAAUUAACAUAAGUGAUAAUGAGUGAUAUUUAUUUCAAUUUCCUUUUAUUAACCAAACUACUUCCUUAUGGAAGGUUGGUAAAGAAUAAAUGAGUAAAACAAUAAAUUGUUAGUUGCAUAAUUUAAAUGACAUAAAUUAAAUGUUAGUUGCAGAAAUGUAAAUGACUGAAAAUAAAAGUUAGUAGUUAGAUCACUCAUUAUGAGUGUGUAUUUUUCAUUUUCACAAAGAUACAAUUUAUGAAUUAAAUUACACUUUGAUUCCAGGUUUCUUUCUUUGUCAACAAAUAAAAUUUAUUUGAUAACACUUUCCUAUUUUACAUUUGUAUCUCUUUCAAGAUUCAAUUGUAGUAUAAUAUAGGGUAAUGUCGAACCACAAGGAAUUUCCUAAUAGAAAUGUACUAAUACUUUGUAUCUUGUAUCAAAGGUAACAAAGUAACACAUAAAGUUGUUUUGAUGUUUCUAUCAAAUAAGAAACAAGAAAAAGUAAAGAACUAACUAUUUUCAAAUUCAAUAAGAGAAGAUUGGUUUGAAAUAUGGAAUUAUUUCUAAACUCAAAUGAUUUUUGAAGAACAUUAACAAGUUAUAUGUUAUACUUUCGGUUAAUUCCAAACCUUGCAAACCUUGCAAAAUACACUAAUCAAUAGAAAACUGCCACUCGACGAAAUAAGUUGUCAUGCCUUAUUUCAGGCUCCAUAAACAUUGAUUAGCCUUGAUUAUAAGUUGCUUAAAAUGGAUGUUUUGAUUCGGCAAAUGAACUAAGGUGUAUUCCUACUUUUUUGUUCAUUUGUCAAGACAUUAAAACGAAGCAUUUUGGAUCAUGAAAUCAAGUUUUAGGUGAUCAAGCUAAAACCGCAUUAAGAACUUCUUAAAGAAUUGAAACUUAACCAAAAGUAAUAUAUUGAAUGUAUUGAAAUCAAAAUAUGAUACAAAUGAAGAAAAGAAAUAACCUUACACCAUGAUCCAAAUCAAUAUGUAGGAGCAUGAGCCAUCUAUCCAAGGAUGAGAUGCUUUUGAUUCCAAAUGAUGUUACAAAAUCAUGUUUUUGUACCUCAUUUGCCUACAACAUUCUCUUUGAAUUUCUAUGAACUAAAAGCCUAAAAAAAGCCUAAGAACACUCUAAAAAGAGAGAGAACCGAAAUGGGAAGAAGUUGAUAAAUUUACAAAGUAUUUACAACUAUGUGCAAUGUUUUUAAGGCAAGGUAUGGGUGUGCCUUUUAUAGGAAAAGUGAAGGCCGCUUAGCCCCCCUUUCUGGUUGAUUAGCUCCUUGUCUGGCGCACCCAAGCUGGUGAGUCCGUAGCUCGUCCCAUCUUGGCCAGCUAGCUUGAACAAUCUAUUAUGGGCUAGGCUACGUGCAUGGUGACACUUCCUACUUGGUUGUCUCAUGCAUGAGGUCAUAAACGUGGUACAUAAGUUAGCUUUGGCUGCUUUCUUGGCUUGUGACAUCAUCCAUGACAUAACCAUUCUUCUAGGCCAAACAAUCAUUUUUAUGGUGGGUCAGGCGCUUAACUCAACUGGUCCCAUGCUUAUGUGCCUACUUGAGUAGCUUGGCUGACCUGGUCACAUGCUCAGCUGCCUACUUGAGCAGCUUAGCUGACAUGGUCCCAGCUCAGCUUCCUGCUUGAGCAGCCUAGUCUAAUUUGGUCCAUGCUUAGCUGCCUACUUGAUCAGCUUGGCUGACCUGGUCCAUGCUCAGCUGCCUGCUUGAGCAGCCUGCCUGACCUGGCCUGGUGCUUGGUGCUCGGCUAGAUAGCUUUGUGCUUGGUUGGAUUGCUUUGUGAGCAACUUUUCUUUUACUUUAAUUUCUUCCAACCAAGAUCAAUUUGCUUAGUCAUGCUUAAGUUUAAGCAUGCACCUUACCAUGCUUAGUUUUAAGCACACAUGUGUCAUGUACUUUGUCUUGAUUUCUUCAAGGUGAAGCAAGCUUUAUUUCUUCAAGCUUAAGCAUUCUUUUUGGUCCAAUUUCCUACGAAACUCAUAGAAAACUUGGACAAGAGGUGAUCAAAGAUUAUAUUAUUCAAACACACAAAAUUUAUCUAAAAAGUGUUGAAUGAAGUUGGUUUUCUCAUUUUUGCAUAGGAUAAGUGCCCUAGAAAGUGUAUGAAAAUUAGGUAUUUUUGGCACUUAUCAAUUUUUUGAUAGAUUUAUGGCACUAGUAUUAUCCAUUUUAUAGGAAUUUUCAUUACUUUCAAGCCAAAUUCCAAUAGUCGUUGCUUCAUCCAUAAUAUCUGAGCGCAACAUACACCUGUGGCAAUAUAUUCUGCUUCAGUGGUAGACAAAGAAACACAGACUUAUUUCUUACUAUGUCAUGAUACUAGGGAGCUGUCCAAAAGGUGGCAAGUCCCAGUAGUACUCUUUCGGUCUACCUUGCAUCCCGCAAAGUCAGAAUCGGAAUACCCUAUUAGGGAUAACGAAGCAUCCCUAUGAUACCAUAAACCCACAUACAUUGUUCCUUUAAGAUAUUUCCAAACACAUUUUACAGCACUAAAAUGAGAUUCUCUAGGUGAAGCUUGAUAUUUAGCACACAUACAUACACUAAACAUUAUAUUGGAGCGACUAGCAGUUAGAUACAUUAAAGAACCUUUUAUCCCACCAGAUUACCUCAAUUGCUUUACCUUUUUCGUCAUAGUCGAGAUAGCAAGAUGGUGCCAUAGGUGUUGUUGCUUCCAUACACUUAUCCAUCUCGAAUCUUUGCAAGAGUUCCUUGCAAUACUUUGUUUGGUGAAUGAAUAUCCCACUGUUCAUUUGUUUUAUUUGUAGUCCAAGAAAGAAUGUUAGUUCGCCCAUCAUCGACAUUUCAAACUCCCCCUUUUUUGAUACCACUUGUUUACACUUUUGACAAGUAUAACAAGAGUCUUUUGAUUUGAAAUCAAGCUUUGGUAAUCCUACCACUUAUUAUCACACAACUGGCUAAUGCAUAGCAGGUUGUACUCUAGUCCUUUGACAUAUAGCAUGUUUUCUAUUACGGAUUGUAAAUCAUUUCCAAUUCGUCCAACUCCUAGUAUCUUUCCUCUAUUGGUGUCUCCAUAAGUGACAUAACCUUUACCAUUUAGUGAGAGAUCUAGGAACUUCGAUCUGUCACCUGUCAUAUGCCUUGAACGUCCAUUGUCUAACACACAUUGUUAUUUCUGAGUUCGAAGAUAUACCUGUAAAACAAUUUUACUUGAAUUGAUUAGGUACCCAAGUUAUAUUGGGUCCUUUCUUGUUAGUAAUCAAGGACUCUUGCCCUUUUCGCAUCUAUACAUAUUUACCACUAGGUAUUCCAUAUUUCCUAAUAUAACAUGAUAUAGAUGUAUGACCAUGUUUACCACAAUAAAAACAAGUAGACAAUUUUUGAUUAGUCAUAUUAUGCAUGUAAUCUAAUUGCCUCUUAUAUGGUCUUCUAUUUUUAUUUGGCUUAUAGCUAAGACCUCCCUAAUUACCUACAUUUCUAGAUUUUUCAAAUAGGUUGUUCAGGUUAUAACUACUAUAAGUGAGUUUUGCCAAUUUAUCUUUCAAGUCAUAAAUUUUAGCAUUUAAUACAUCACAAUUAUCACCUAUAGGGGUUCAAUUAAUUUAGUCGCGCAACUACAUGAGGCAGGUGAGUAGAUGAGAUCUAGAGUUUCAUUUUCUAGUUUCAAUUUAUUUAGUUCUUCUUGCAUCUUAGUUAUUUUACUUUCAUGCAACAAAAUGACUCGUUUUCUAUCUACAUUUAUUUUUGCCAGUUUCUUAAGUUCCUCAUGCAACUCAACAAAUGCACUAUAUAAUUCAUUGUAAGUAGGAGACUCAUCGGAACACAAAGAACAGUCAGAAAAAUGUACCUCACUCUUGUCAUCCGGAUCGCUUGUGCUGCUAAUUUCGUGAGUGUUUGCCAUUAAGGACAAUUUGGCGGUCUCCUCUUCAUCGGAUGUGCUACUCGUUGUCUUGUCCUCCGGAACAUCCCAUACAAUGUAAGUCUUCUUGGAUUUGAUGUCCCUGGUGAUGCUUUUAUCGUGUUCAACCUUCUUGAGGUGAGUCGGGCAUUGGAAUUUCAUAUGGCCCGGUUUGCCACACUCAUUGCAAAUGAGGCGAUCUUUGGGAGUUUUACCUCAUCUGGUUGAAUCAGUUGCCUCCUUCUUUUGAAAUCGUUUAAAUCCUCCUUUCUUCUUGAGAAACUUGCAAAACUUUCUAACCAGAAGAUUUAACGUUUCAUCAUCUAAUUCAGACCCUGAAUCAACAUCGUCUCUCUCUUCAUGUGAUUGUGAAGAUGUAGCUUUCAAAGAUAUGCCCUUUUUCUUUAGGUCUGAAUCUUCAUGCAUUGUUAAGCCUCCCAACUCCAUUUCCUGUUCUUGGAGUUUGCCAAAGAGAGUUGUUAUUGGCAUAGUGUCUAAGUCUUUCGACUCCAUAAUUGAUAUUACCUUAGGCUGUCAUUUCCUAUCAAGACAACACAACACUUUUUUCGUAAGUUGACCAAUAGAAAAAUUCUUAUCUAACGCAAUUAAAUGAUUUACAAUAUGAGAGAAUCUUUUUUUAUUUCAUUUAUCGAUUCAUUAGGAAACAUUCUAAACAACUCAUAUUCAUGUGUCAAAGCAUUUAAUCGAGCACACUUAACCUCACUUGUGACUUCAGGGUUACUUGCAAAGUAUCCCAUAUUUCCUUUGCAUUUAGGCACUGUGACACCCAAAAGAAUUCUUCGUAUAAUAAGGUAGAGGUUAUAAUGUUCUUUGCCUUGAGAUUGUGCUGGACUUUACGUCUUUCAUCGUCAUUCCACAAUCCCUAGAGAAUCUCAUUUGGGUUCACCAUCCACUAUGUGAAGUGGAGUGCAAGGCCCAUUGACAACAGAGCCCCAAAUCUCCGUGUCUAUUGCCUCUAUAAAGAUUUGCAUAUGCACCUUCCAGUAGGCAUACCCUUAGGCGCUAAAAAUCGGAGGGCGGUUGAUGGAUGUGCCAUCACCGUCGAAGGGGUGUGUGGAACCCAUAGUAAUUAAUCCCUCAGAUCAACGAAUUUAGCAGCAAAGCUAGUACUUUCGUACUAGCUCUGAUACCACUUAUUGAGUACCAUUAAGGUAAGAUUACACCUAGAAGGGGGUGAAUAAGUGUCGCGGAUCACCAGUCUUGCUUUUCCGAUAUUUGCACAGAAUACAAAGUUGUUUUCAAGGACCUAAUUAUGAAAUCAUGCAAGGUGUUUUCAAUUGAAUGAAAAAUGUUUUGGCGCGAUGAAAAGGAUUUUCUCACUUUCCUCUCUCUUUUCACUCUUGAAGCUUAUGAAAGAAAAUCUCAAAGAAACAACAGGGAAGCUUUAAAACGUUUUAGCACCAUGAAUAUUUGGUUUUCUCUCUCUCAAAAAAUUUGACGAUUCUUGCUCAAUGAAGGUGAAAAGUUGUUUUAAAAACGGAUUCAAUUCUAUUUCAAAAUAACAGAAUUAGCUCAAAACAUAUACAACAUGUGUUAAUCGAUUAAAUGGCCACGUUAAUCGAUUAACGGUUUCUUUAAAAAUGGAUUUUCAGUUAUGGCUUAAUUGAUUAAAAAUGUGCUUAAUCAAUUAAUAGACAGAAAUCAUGGGAGGUUACAUUCUGUAACUACAUUUAAUCGAUUAUGACUUUCCUGAAUCGAUUAAGGAUUUCUCCAAGACUUAGUCGAUUACCAAACGGGUUAAUCGAUUAAAUUUGCUUAAAAUGGGUUUUCUAUUUAUGCGGUAAAUACCCUCUAUGAUGAAUGAGCAUGCAAUAUGAUUUUUAAAAAGAAUAAAUCUUUUAUGCACAAAACCAUGUAUGUAUGAAUGCAAAUGCAUGAGUGUCAUUUAUCAUAUAUAUGUAUGAUGAUAUUUUGUCUCAUUCUAUAUGAUUUUCAUUUUAGACUUGUUGUGAGACACUUCCAUCUUGGAUUUACCUAACCUAAGACUCAAUACUAGGAAAUCAACUUAGAACUCUAGAAUGUAAAAAGAAAUCAUAGACUCUAUGAUGUUGACCUUGAGUUCGUGGUGUAUUGUUUGUUGAGAUGUCCAAGUCUUCAAGCUUCCAUCUAAGACCUUGUCUUCAUCAUAACUUCGUAGGUCAGUUAGAAUGGCAUCCUUUGACUAUUUGCCAUUUCAGUGACAAGUCCACUAAACCUUAUCAUUUAGAGGAAGGAGAAGUCGUAACAAUGUUUCUGCAGUUGAACCUGUGGAAGGAUCAUUAUCGAAGACUCACAAGCAGUGUGACCUCGUGAAUAUGAUUUAUUCCUCAGGGGUGGCUAGAGGUGUUUGGCACCUCGGUCCCGCUCGUGUUAGGAGGCGCCACACCCUAUGUGGUGUCCUCCUAGCCUAAUAACAAAACACCAGCGUGGAACGCGCCAAGGAAAUUGAAAUUGUUUACUUCGCCCUCGUCAGCCCGAAGACAAUGCUCGUGUUGGCAGCAUUGCGACACGCUUACCCUAAAGACUCUCGACUAGCGAAAAUGGAGGGAAGCGGAUGGGGGUCGACGAUGUGCCUUUGUCGGAUGUGAAACAGCGAGAGUCGGUCCGCCAAUCGACUCAGGGCAUGGACCGACGCGAAUUGUGAUGGUGGCCCAAGAAGAGGCUGUUGACAUGCUUGUGGAGACGUCAUUAUCACGAUUGUGGUUGGAAGUGCGCGCCAUUUGGUGUACCUCAGCCCUACGUGCUCCGAGCAUCGGCCUGCGGGCUCCUCAUUUGGCCCGUCUUGAAACUUAGACUAAGGAGUUGGACAUGUGUGCGAGUAAGCGGGCAAGUAAACUUGUAAGGCAAAAGGAACCUGAUUGGUGGGAUCUACUUGUGGAUUGCACUGCCGAUCGACCCUGAUCUUCUUUGAAGGGUUCAAGUGAGAGCAUACUUGUUGGGACUCGAAAGACGGUGAACUAUGCCUGAGCGGGGCAAAGCCAGAGGAAUCUUUGGUGGAGGCCCGCAAAUCGUUCGUCUGACUUGGGUAUAGGGGCUAAAGACUAAUCGAACCAUCUAGCAACUAGUUCCCUCCGAAGUUUCCCUUAGGAUAGUUGGAGCCGUGGGAAACUUCUAUUGGGUAAAGCCAAUGAUUAGAGGCAUCAGGGGUGCAACGCCCUCGACCUAUUCUCAAACUUUAAAUAGGUAGAAUGAAAGGAUGAACUAGAAGCUCAGUUACGGUGCCCAACUGUGCGCUAACCUAGACCCCACAAAUGGUGUUGGCCGAUUAAGGGAGAAGGACGGUGGUCUUGGAAGUCGAAAUCCACUAAGGAGUGUGUAACAACUCACCUGCCGAAUCAACUAGCCCAAAAAAUGGAUAGUGCUAAGGCGCGCGAUCUAUACCCAGCCGUCAGGGAAAGGGCCAGGCCCUGAUGAAUAGGAGGGCGCGACGGUUACUGCAUACCCUGGGGCGUGAGCCUAGGAGGAGCAGUUGUGGGUGCAGAUCUUGGUGAUUGUAGCAAAUAUUCUAAUGAGAACUUUGAAGGCCAAAGAGGGGAAAGGUUCCAUGUGAACGACACUUGCACAUGGGUUAGUCAAUCCUAAGGGACGAGAGAAGCCCUUCUGAUAGCACUCUAAGCGCACACUCCGAAAGGGAACCGGGUUAAAAUUUCUAAACCAGGACGUGGCGGUUGACAACAAGGUUAGGGAGUCCAAAGACGUCGGUGGGGCCUCAUAAAGAGUUAUCUUUUCUGUUUAACACCUAGCCCACCCUGGAAACGACUCAGUCGGAUGUAGGGCCCAGCGGCUGGAAGAGCACCACACGUCGCAUGGUGUCCGAUGCGCCCCAGCAGCGCUUGAAAAUCUGGAGGACCGAGUGCCUCCCAUGCUCGAUCAUACUCAUAAUCGCUUCAGGUCUCCAAGGUGAAUAACCUUUGGUCGAUGGAACAAUGUAGGCAAGGGAAGUCAGCAAAAUGGAUCUGUAACCUUGGGAAAAUGGAUGCAUUGGUUGUUGGUGGAUUGCUCGAAGUGCUCUCGCAACGAGAGUUGGUCGCUGUGUGCUGGUCGGGGGACAAAUUGGGAACGGGCCCUUUGGGGCCUCUUCCUUGGGCUUCGAACAGUAGACUCAUGACUGGUACAGACAAGGGGAAUCUGACUGUUUAAUUAAAACAAAGCAUUGUGAUGGUCCCUGUGGAUGUUGACGCAAUUUGAUUUCUACCCCGUGCUCUCUGAAUGUCAAAGUGAAGAAAUUCAACCAAGCGCGGGUAAACGGUGGGAGUAACUGUGACUCUCAUAAGGUAGCCAAAUGCCUUGUCAUCUAAUUAGUAACACACGUGAAUGGAUUAACUAGAUUCCCACUGUCCCUGUCUACUAUCCAGCGUAACCACAACCAAGGGAACAUGCAUGGCAGAUUCAGCGGGGAAAGAAGACCUUUUUGAGCUUGACUCUAGUCCGACUUUGUGAAAUGACGUGAGAGGUUUAGGAUAAGUGGGAGUUGGAAACAACAGAAGUGAAAUACACUACUUUAAACAUUAUUUUACUUAUUCUGUGAAUCAGAGGCGGGGCACAACCCAUUUUUUUGGACCCAAGGCCAGCCUCAGGCGAUCGAUCUAGGCCGAAGACAUUGUUAGGUGGGGAGUUUGGCUGGGGCGGUAC
rnacentral:lncRNA from 1 species